CUUAUUCUUCUCAUUUUCUAAGUUUACCAAUUCAGUUAUCUACUAAUGAGGUUUAAUUAGUUUAUUUUCUUGCUUAAUUAAUCUCAUUGGUUUGGAGGUAAUACAUAUUCAUUAGAAUCAUCUUUGUUAUCAAGUUUAUCAGUAUUAAUUAAAUUUUUAAAAUUAACCCUUUGAUCAUUAUCAUGAUUAUCCUCAUGUUCAUUUAUGGACUUAAAAUUAAAUAAAAUUAGGAAUGUUGGCAAGAUGUGUGGGGAAAAUGAAAAAUUAGAGUAAUAGAAUAAAUGAAUGAAAAUGCAUCAUUUCUAAUCUUUAUUGAAAUAAUAAUAGAUAAAUGAUCCAUACAUAAAAGAUCAUCCCAAUGCCUUUGGACAUAAGCUAUUAGGAUGUACAAUUACAUUGAAAAAGUUUCAAGGAUAGCAGGCAUUUCAAUGGUGCUCCAAUUGUUCAACUCGUAACUUGAUGGACAAAGAUAAACCCACACUUCAUGUUCAUGCCUUUUUUCAUCUCCAAUUGCAUAAAUGGCCAAUACAGCAAAUGCCUUUUCCACACUUAAUUUUGGCUCCUCUUCAAAAUCUUCAUCCAACUCUGGAUACAUGAACCCUCUAGGCCUAAAGAUAUCAUAAAGGUGUGGAAUAACCAUCAACAUAGCUUUUGGUUCAUAACCUUUGAGUUUCGACAUCCCAUUUUCCUUUUUGUCCAUUUGUCUUUUUUUCAUCUUUCUACCUUCUACUUUAUAACCCAAACCUAGCCUCUAAAUAUUGUUAAUUAUCAUUGGAGUCUCUUUUAUUCCUUGUAAAUUUUUACUUGACCCCACUCCAAGAUACCAACUUUUGUUGACAAUUUGAUUCACCACUAUGUUUGUGAAACAAGGUUGGUUUAUCUUAGAUCCUUCACCUAUAAAAUUGAUAAGCUCAAAGGAUCGGUAAGAACAUUCUAAUGCCUCACAGCAGCCUCUACAUAUGGGGCAAUUAUGGGCUGAGUUAUCAAUAUAUCCUCUUCUCCAAACACAAUGAUCAGCUGGCCUUCUAUAUUGAAUUUGACUUUUUAGUGUAGGGUCGGAGGGACAACACCUGCUAUAUAGAUUCAUGACCUUUCUAACAGGCAGCUAUAAGAUGAAAAAAAUCCAUAACUUAAAAUUUAACUUAAAAUUUUUCAUAAUAAAAAGAUUUUAAAGUAUUUACAAAAAGCACUAUAGUUUUUUUUUUCAGUUAAAAGUGACUGAACUUGAGUAGCCAUAUCCUUCUACAUUUGGACAUACUCCUUAAAUGACUUAAUCAUCUUCUUCUCUAUAUUCUAUAAAAAAAGAUGAACAGAAGCUAAAUCUAUUAUGUGUUGGUAUUGACUGAUAAAGUUGUGAGUUAGCUCUUGUCAUAUGUGAAUGUGAGACGAAUCCAACUGAACAUACCAUCUCAUUGUAAAACUAGUAAGGUUAUCUUGUAAUAUAUGCAUAAAAAACUUUUCAUCACUAGUAUAGGCAGUCAUUUUACAACAAUAUAUGGUAACAUAAGUUAUUGGACACUUUGUAUCAUCAUAUUUUUCAAACUCUGAAACUUUGAAUUUUGAGGAAAUAACAACAUCUGGGACUAAACAGAACCCAAUAACAUUUAUUGGACCAUGAAAACCAAUUCCCUCCAUUGCUCAUAACCUUUCUUCAAGCUUGUUCAUCUUUUGGUCAACUUUUAAGCCCUUCAGUAACUUGAUCACUUUUAACUUUAAUUUUUUUUCUCUUUUAGAUCAUCCAGAUUAGGGACCUAUAUUGGUUUUAAGGCUUUCUUCCCAAAGAUUGGAUUAACAUAACUUUGGAACUAACCUUGGGCAAUAGUAGAUUGCAUUCCUAGGUUAGUGUAUGGAUAGGCCCUAGGAAAAUUUACUUGUGCUCCUUAAAAAGGUUGGCCUUGAUAAUGUUGAAUCUUGGAAGGUACAGAGGAUCAAUUACAUCUUGCACAAGAUGCUUUGGCUAACUUGAAACUUCUUCCACCCUUUUUCUUUUAUUUAGCUUAUUCAAAGCUUCUAAAAUUUUUUCCAACUCUACCAUGAACUCUUCUUGGGCCUUUUCAAUCUUGUCAAAAUGAUUGGAGUUUUCUUAUUUUAUCUAUCUAGCUUAGGCUUUUGUGUUGUAUUGGUGGUGAAUGGGGUUUUUGGAUGGUGAAACUAUUCUUGAACCUUAAGUACCAUAAUUGUUAAUUAGAGGACUUGUUUAUAACUUAAUAUGAAAAAUAAAAACUUAUUAUGAAUGUAAUGUAUGAGAUAUAAUGCAUGAGAGAUGAUAUUUGCCUUUUAAAUAAUUUUUUUAAAAAUAAACUUUUAUUUAUUCCAUAAAAGUCUAUUUACAUAGAAUCUAUAAUUCUUAAUUUGAAAAUACGUUUGACUUGUUCAUAUUGGUCUUUGGCCUCAUCAAUGAAGUUCAACAAAUGUUGUCCAUGCUUUUCUAUUGGGGUGAUUACUUCUCUAAGAGCUUUACCUUCUUAGCCAUGUCCUUUAUCUUGAUUAUUGCCUUACUUAUCUGGAUCAUAAAAUGCUCUUUGUACUCUGUUGUCCUAAGUUUUCCUUUUUGUCACACCAAACUUGAUAUGAUAACUCCUUAUGCUCUCUUGUAAGUGCGAUGAUAUGAUUUGCUUGCUCAUUUAAUCUCUAUUUUAAAACCUAAAUAUAUUAUCUGUGUGCUUUAAUUUUUUUUUAGCUUCAGUGCAUUCAUCUUUUAUUUGAGAAUAUUCUCUUUUUAAUUUUUCAUUUUCACAACCAAAUUGAUGAUGUUUAUUUUUUUUACUUUAAUUUGGAUGUGUAACUUUUUACAUUCUUAUUGUGAUUCCAUCAACUUAUUGAGGGCAGUCUCACAUUCCUUAGCUAUUUUUUGGGCUUUAGCCCUUUAUCUUCUACCUCAGUAGUCAUCUUUUUACGUUCUUUAUGCAACCCUGAUAAGUCACUAAUAGCUAUGUCUCAUUCUUUGAUGAUCUUCUUUAUCUUAACCUUUUGUUUCAUCACUUCUUCCUUUAUUUUCUCUUUUUUUUAUUGAAGCCUUUGAAUUUUUUUCUUCAAUUUAUUUUUCUCAGAUUCAAAUUCCUCUUUUGUAAAUUCCAACUUUGAAGGUAACUCUUUCAUAUAUUGUUCCACUAACUAGCAAAAAUCUCAAAAAAUGAACAUAAUUUUUUUACCUUUUUUUGCCUUUCAUACCAUAUAUCUCGGGGUGAUCUUAUUAAUGAAAAAUCCAAUAGUCAUAUUCUUAGACUUCUUUCAUGGCUUAAUUAUACUAUCAAUCCUGUGAAAGGCUUUAGGCUCACCAUAUAGACAGUCUAAUUGAUUUAGCUUGUGCGUUAUGAGGAUAAACUGUUUAGCUCCACAUUGCCUUCUUACCAUGAAUGGUGCAUAACUUAUUGAUUCCUACAAUCCUAAAAGUGUAACCCCAAUUUCAUCUUCACAUUGAUAUAACAUUGGCUCUCAACUUAUCCAUGGGACUAAUGACUGCACUUGACUACUUAUGAGCUAUUGUAGAAAACACUUAUAUUCAUUCUUGAUCUUUAUUUGUGGCCAUUUGCUUUCAUAUAAUUCCCUAACAGGAUUUCGAUUGUGAAAAUAAAGUUUAGAGGAAGCAUUCUUUUUGCAUUCAAAAUCACUCUUCAUCCAUAGGUAUAACAAUGGUGUGUAACCCAGAAAUUGCCCUUUAUCAUUUUGUCAAUAAUGAUUCAACAACCUAAUAGUUUCUACCAAAAUUACUGGUGAAAGAUUGCAUCAUCUUUCUAUUUGCUCAAACAAAUCUACCAUUUCUAUCUCAAUAUGCCCUAAAAUUUUAGGAAAGAUCACUAUACCAUAUAUGGCUAUAGCAAAUACAUUUAAUUCCUAGUCAUCGUCUGGAUGUUUUGUAAUGAAGUAAUGAAAAAACUACCCAGAAAUACCCUUAUGUGCUCAUUUUUCUUGGAUAUGUGAAUCUAUAACCUCCUUGUUGACUCCUAAGAUAUGAGCUAACUUUUUGCGAUACCCAGGCUUUUAUUUUUUCACAUAAACUCUAUCUGGUUGUUGGAGAUGCAUACCUACCAAAAUUGAAUACUCUUUCAUGGUUGGCUCCAUAUCCACUUCAUUAAAGCUAAAACAAUGAUAGAAAGGAUCUCAAAAUUACACCAUUACCUUUAUAAGUGAACUUUCCACUUUCACUAACAAGAGUGUACAAUGUGGCCAAAUUUCUGAUAGAAGACUUGUUGUCUCGACGAGCUUAUGUUUUUCUGUAUGGCUAUUAAAUCUUGCAAAUCAUUUUUUUUAAAUAGCAAUCAAACUUUUCUAGGUAGUGUAAAAAUAUAGCCAGGUGGUAGACAAUCUCCUUCCUUCUGUUGGAUAUUCUUUGAUUCAAUCUUCAACUCAUUAGGUGACUCAUAUUUGGCAAACAUGGACGAAGCACAAACUAGAUGUUCUAUAAGCUCCAUGAAAGCUUUUUGUUGGUAAUAUCUUUCAGGGCAAAUAUGUUAUGCAAUCUAUAUGCAUGUUUUAUGAACAUGCAAGAAGAAGAAUAAAGAAAAAAAAUUGGUUAGUAAAUGUAAUAUAAGAAAAAAAACAUGUUAGCACAUAAUAUGAUCCUAAACUCCAAGUUAAUUCUAAAAGGUAAAAGAGACAUAGCUCUAUCUAUGGGUUAAGUUGAUAAGGUUAACUAUAUGCAUUUUGGGUUAAUUUUAAAGAUUCUUAAAUUGUUCCUUACAUUAAUGUCCAUUACAAACUAGUGAGGCAUCCCAAUCCUCGCCUAUUAUAGGCUACAAAUAAAAAUGAUUCAAUUUGAGUGAGAGUAUUUCGCUAGCCCAUAUGAAGACAUGAAAUCUUAUGAAAGUGUAGGUACUUUAUUCCUUUUUAAGAGAUAGAACCCAGGUAUAGAGCUCAUGUUAUGCACAUGCAAAUAAAUGACAAAAUAUUAAAAGUUUGAAAAAAUAAAUCAAGAAGAAAAAAAAUCUUUUUAGGGAAAACAUUCGGCUUAGAUAACAUAAAUUCAUUUACUGGCCUAACUUUCAGCAUCCCUAGUGAAGUUUUUAAUUUGUCAUAAUGUAUAGAUCCAUUAACUUAUAGCUAGACUUAACUUUAAGAGUCACCAUCAAUCUUUUUUGUUUAAGUGCAAUUGGCACCUAAGUGAAUUUAUCUUUUUUUAAAGAAAAAUCCCAAGUUUAACUUUUGGUAUAUUUAAAAGGUGGAUUUUAUAUAUACAAAAUCAAGAUUAGAUUUGAAAGUAUGAUUACGUGUGAGAAAAGUUAUAGCACUCUCACAACACCCAUCAAAUGAUGGUACCAAUUUGAUUUUAUAUUAUCCAAGCCUUAAAAUGUGUUUAUAAUUUACCUAAUAAAUUUAAUAUUAAAAAUUAUUCUUAAAAUUACUCCAAUCAUUUUGUAGUAAUUUAAGAUAAUUUUUCUAUUUCAAGAGUAUUCAUGGAGACUCAUGUUCCAUUCUAAAGAGGUUUUGAUAUCAGAUUUAUUAAUAUAUUUUCUAAGAAAUAAUUUUUUUGAAAUUAAUCAAUAAAAUCUUUCAAAUGUUUGGUAAGAUUUUAUAUCAAUGCAUAUCUCCUAAUCGUUUGAUAGGAUUUUUUUUGAAAAUCUUUUUAUGAAAUUUUUAAAAAAAUAAAGUCAUUAAAUCCUCCAAUAGUUUUGUAAGAUUUAACGAAAAUUUGAAUCAUUUAAUCAUUUGGUAGGAUUGAAAAUUUAUUUUUUGAAAACUCAUUGUGAAAUUCUUCAAUUGUCUAGUAGAAUUCAUAGUUGAAAAUUAAACCCAUGAAGAUCUUCUAAUAGUUUGAUAAGAUUCAUCAAUUUUUAUUUUAAAAAUAAAUAAAAUGUAUAAAAAUAAAGAAUAUAAAAAAAAAUAGCUAAAACUUAAAUAAAUAACAAAAGAUAAAAAAUAAAAAAUGAAAUAAAGUAAAAACAAAAAAUACCAAAAAAAAAAAAGCUCAGCUUGACUAAGAUCAAACAACUUGGCUAUAGAAACCAGUUGACUAGAGUGGUUUGGGACAAUAGCUUAGCUCGGCUUAAGCUUCUGUAACUAAAGGCAGGUAGUGAAAUCGAAUCAUGCUACGGGUCAAAUUCGUAACUGGUAAAAUGUGCAGAUCUUGGACUUUUUUAUUCCUCAAAAUGGUAUCGUUUCAAUUGGGUAUAACAGCCUAAUUUUUUCUUGUUUAUCAGAUUUUCUCCAAUCCCUUCUCUUUCUUCCCUUUCUUUUGUCUAUCUCUCUCUCUAGAAUUUUUUUAACACUGGUCGAAAAUCCCAAUGAAACCCAAAUCACAGUGAAAAGUCAUCGAAAAAGUCAACAUUCGUUAUCAAAAAAUUCAAUAAAUUUAAAAUUUUUAAAAAAAUUUCUAAAAAAGUUUCUAGAAAUGUAAAAAAACUUGUAAAGAUUCUCAAAUUGAUUCUCUUCCUUCCAAAAUCCUCAAAUAUCCUUAAUCUAAUUUAAUCAAAAUUUCAAAUCUGCCCUAACUUCAAUAUAUACAUAUAUAUAUUUUGCCAAAAACUCUAAAAAAAUUUGCCUAUUCUUUUUCUUUGCAUUUUGUGGUCUUUCUCUGCUAAUUCAUUUAUGAUUUUUUGUCCCUUCUUAUUGCUUAAUUUGGGUUUAUAUUUAUAGAGAUUUGAUUAUAAAAACCCUAAGUUAAAAAGGAUUUUAAUUUCACUUCAAUUCGAAUUUCAAACCUUGAUUUAGACUAAAUUUUAUAACCUAAAGAAAAAAGUCCCAAAGACACUAUAGGGGUUUUGGUUUUUAAUGACUUUUUUUUACCGUUUAGCGGUAUUUAUUAACGCCACUAUAAGGUUGUGGUGUUUUUGAAAAAAUGCCACGCAGAAUACCGCCUAUACAUGUGUCGUGGUAAAUAGCGACAUUUAAAAAAAAACGCUUCAAUAUUAACGACGUUUAUAUCUGAAAUGCCACCAUUUUAACGACAUUUAUAUCUUUGAGACGCCACUACUUUAAAGGCAUUUGAAUCUGAAAAUGGCUCAAUAUUAGCAACGUUUGUAUCUUUUAGUCGCCGCUAUUUCAGUGACAUUUUUAUGAGAAAAACGCCAUUGCAUUGACGGCAUUUGUAACAGAAAAUGUCAUUACUUUAGAGGCGUUUGAAUUUGAAAACACCUCAAUAUUUACGGCGUUUGUAUCUUUUAGGCGUCGCUAAUUCAGUGGCAUUGUUAUGAGAAAAACACCAUUAGUGAAGGCAUUUCUAUAAAAAAUGCCACCGACCUAGUGGCAUUUGCUUGAAAGAGCACUGCUUCUUAGUGGCAUUUUAUGCUACAAAUGUCACUAAAUUAUUCAUUUAGUGGUAUUGCCCAAUGCAAACGCCGUCAUUAUGUAAAAAUGUAUUUUUUUAAUUUUUUAUAAUAAAUUUUAUUUUCAGUAAAGACCUUAAAUUCAGAAACUGAAAUUAAUAUUAACUUCAUUCACGUUUAAGUAUACAUCUAAUUAAUACAAAGUUUAAUAAUUAGUAUAAUAACAUUCAACUAUUGUAAAUACAUUAACCAAAUAAAAAAUUAAAAUGUAUGAAAUAGAUGACUACAUACAUUUUGCUGGCUGCCAAUUGAUGAAGAAAACUUUUCAUCUUGAUCACUAGCAUGCUCAACAACCUACUGAAUAAUACCAUAUAAUUUUUAACACUUCAUUGUAUGCUUAUUUUUUAUUUAAAAAUUUUAAUAUUUACUAAAUAUAAUACUUGAGUUGAUGGAGCACUAAGAUCAUUUCUUGAAAAUUGUUGUUACACAAAAUUCAUAAGAUGAUCGAAUUGAUCAUGCAACUGCUAAAAUUUCGCACGCUCUAACUCUAUUCUAGCAUGUUCAUUUUCAAUUUUGGCAUGCUCCUAUUUUUUUUCUGCUUCCAUUUGUUGAAAAUAUUGUUGCGUAGUUUGCUACUCCCCUUUCAAUAUUGAAAUGUCUCACAAAGACUGACUUGCUAAUAGUGUAAAUUAUAGAGAGUUAUGUUCAUAAUAGGUAGAUGGUGUUGGACCCAAUCCAAGGCCUCGGACCUAUCCAUGCCUUUUUUUUUCAGUAACUUCUAUGAAUAUCCGAUUUUUCAUUUCUUGCAUGUUGAGAGAACCUUCAGGUGCUACUUCAAUCUCAGCAACCAUUUUUUCUUUCGCUUUCUCCUGUGAAUUUGUCAUAUACAACUAUCAAGUUUAAUGAUUAAUUGAUUAUAUGUUAAAAACAAUUAAUAUUUACUUUAUGUUAAAAUAGAUGAUACAAAUUAUCAUAAUUUCUUGUGUUUCGACAUUCAUAUAAAAUUCAUCUUUUUUUAUGUGUAUUACGCGAAAAAGUUUCACACGUUGAAUUGUACCACCCAUCUCAUUCUCCUAUACAAAAAUAUAUGUUAUUUGAUAUGAUACAUAUCAACCGUAACUUAUUUAUGCAUAUCAAUCCUAUCAAUCAAGUAUUAAAAUUUUGAAUAAUUUUAAUCUUUUUAUUUAUAUUUUAGCCCUAUAACAACACAAUAGUCUUAAACAUAUGCAAAGAAUAAAAGCAUUUUGGGCUUUCACACAUAUCAAUCACGGAAACUAAAUUCAAUUAUUUUCUUUCAGUUUAAUAUAGAGGAUUGAAGCCUUUGAAAGGCAUCCAAAAUUUAUUUGUAUAUUUGCCUUUUAUAUGUAAAAAUAUUCUCAAACAGACAUAACUGACAACUUUUUCUCUUAUAUCAACCAUAGAAAUUAAGUUCAAUCAAUUGGACAAGCUUAAUAUCAACUGUUAAAGCUAUCAAAACUGUUAAAAUAUGACAAUAACAACAACCAGAUAAUAAAGGCAUAUAUAUACGUAAACAGUAACUUUUCAUACAUAUCAUCUGUGUAACUAAGUUCAAAACUUUUCGAUAAGUUUAAUAUCAUAUAUUCAAACAAUCAAAUCUAUUAAAACAGAACAAUAAAUGUUAAUUUUCAUAUUUACCUUUUUACGGUAAAAAAAGUUCAUUUAUUGGAAUAAGUUAAUUAUCAUAAACUUACGAUUUCUUUUUGCUUUCUUACAAAACUUUUUUAUCCACUUGUGUGGCUGGAUUUCUAUUGCUUUCUGCUACCAAUCCCAAUCUAUUUUCUUUCCUAUCAUAAAAAAUAAUUGUUUAUAUGAUAGAAAUACAAAUAUUACCAACUGAAACCAUCAAACACUUUCAUCAUUUCAUUAUAUUAUACAAAGUUAUAAACUACUACUUUUCCUUUUUUUUAGAACCAAAAUCUAACUAGUUAUUCAGCUUGCCACCUAAUCACAUUACGGGGUAGAUUUUGCAUCAUCGCCUCUACAGUAGUAUUUUGAUCGAAAUACUUAUUCUUUAAACUAUGCUUAUAAUCUUUCCAUUUCUUUCCCAAUGACUUAACCACAAAUGAAGUUGGUAUUUCAAAUAUAAAUCUCGACUGUAAUAAUACAAUAAGAAAAAUUUGAAUAAGUAAACAAAAUGUAAAAUAAAAAAUUUAAAUAAAAAAUUUUAAUAUAUCUAAUUAAUUAUACUAAUACUUCAAUAAAGUUUAACGCAUCGGCCUUAACUUCUUCUGGAACAUUAUGCCAUGUUUCAUAAUGAAUAGGCAAUUUCAUUUCAUUGCGGGCUAGCAUGCCUAGAAAUCCAGCCAAUAGUUGAGUCUCUUCACCAAUUGGUUACCUAUCAAAGUUUGCAAACAUUACAAUACGCUCGUUAGAAGGUAGUGCAAAUAAUUCUUUCAAAGUUGUUCGACCUUUGGUCUUUCGUUGACCAUUGUUAUCAACUGUAAUAAAUAUAUUUGUAAAAUCGUAAUACUUUUAUCAUUAUACUCGAAUUCUAAAAUUGGAGUAUAUCAUAUCUGCAUUCAAAUUUAAAGCAUAAUCAAUUGAUGGAGUACUAUCUAAACCUGGACCUCCUAUAUUACUAUAUCUAAUAUCAAUUGGAUGAAAGAUCUUUUUUAAAUGGCAUAAAGUAAUCGCGGCUCGAUCUUGAACUUUGUCAAGCUCUUCCACAUUCAUACAUUACUGACAUAAAGAUUUAAAUAUGUUACUAAAUUCAAUUAUCAUAGAAGUCACUUGCUUUGACAUUGAUGAAUGUAAAACAAUUGACAGUAAGUCUUGCAUCAAAAUGUGAUAAUCAUGUGACUUCAUUGAAAAAAGUUUUUACUUUUUCAUAUUCACACAUCUUGAUAUAUUUGACGUAUAGCCAUUGAAACUUUGACAUUUUUCAAAACCUUGCAAAACACAUCUUUUUCAGCUUUAAAAAUCCUAGAACAAGCAGCAGGCAAUUGAUAUUUGCCAUUAGGAAGCAACAUCAUAUGAAGGUCUGGGUGAAUCCCCAUAUUAACUAGGUUAAGUCGACUCUUUAAGUCAUCAUUGAAUCUUUUGUUCACAUUAAGAAUUGUAACGAUAAAAUUUUCACAAACAUUCUUCUCUAUAUGGAUAAAAUUAAAGUUAUGAUGUAAUAAAUUAUAUUCCUAAUAAAGCAACUUAAAAAAUAUACUUCUUUUUUUCUACAACUCAUACUCAUUAGGGUCAUCUACUUCAUUGUCCUCUUCAUCACUUUAAACAUCAAGAUCACUAAUUUUCUAUAUGACUAUCACCAAUUUACGUAAUACGAGACCAAAUACUUUUAAAGAUAUCCCUCACUCUUUUCUUUGAUGGAGUCAUUUUUCUAUAUGUGAAAUUAAUAUCUUUUAACUUUAACAAGAUAUUAGACCCACUAAUGGGUAAAGGCAAUCUCUUCAACUCUUUAGUUCCAUUAAAAAGAUGUUUUGAAAUCUAAAUUGAUGAUUAUCAUCUAACCAUCGAUGAUGUCCCAUAUAACAGAACUUCCUACCAUUACAUAACCAUGUUGAACAUGUUUGUGCAACACAACAUAGACAAGCAUAAUAACUUUUUAUACUCCAACCAGAUAAAUUCGCAUAAGCAAGAAAAUUAUUGCUAGUCCAUAAUAAAGCAGUAUGUAUAUUAAAGUUAUUUACUUUUGAUACAUCAUAGGUCUUAACUCCUUCCUAUAAUUACUUUAACUUUUAAUAAGAGAUUGUAAGUAGAUGUCUAUAUCAUUACCUGGAUCUUUUUUCUCAAAAAUUAUCAUAGAUAAUAUAAAUGACUGUUGCUUCAUAGCAAUCCAUGGUGACAAAUUAUAAGGAAUCAAUACAACUGGCCAAGUACUAUAAGAAGUACUUAUAAUUUAGAAUAGGUUGAAUCCAUCAGAUGCCAGUCCAAGCAUAACAUUUCGAGGAUCAGAUGCAAAGUCUAAAAACCUAGAAUGAAAUAACUUUCAUGCCAAAAAAUUUGCAGGAUGUUUCAAUGAUCCAUCAUCCAUCUGCUUCUCAUGAUGUCACCUUAUUAAAUCUACAGUUUUGAAAGACAUGUAAAGUCGUUGAAGUAUUUGUAUUAAUGAAAAAUAGCUUAAAACCUUAAUAGGCUUCUUUUUGACAUAUACCUCAUCACCAUCAUCAUUCAACCUUUCAUCGAAGUUUUUGUCGACCCAACGAGAAAUACCACACAAAUGACAAGAUUUUUUAUUUUUUCUAUCCCCCUCAAUACAACAUGCAAUCAUUGGGACAAUUAUGAAUUUUCUUAUAUAUGAGACCUAAAUCCUUGAUCAUCUUUUUUGAUUUCUUACAAGAUUUAAAAAUUUUUAUAAAAAAAAAAUUUCUUUUAUAAACUGUAAUAAUAAAGUCAGAGAGUUUUUUGUCCAUCCACAUAAGCAUUUCAAGUGAAAAAGAUGAACACAGAAAGACAACCUUGAAUGCUUUGAUCUCUCAAAAAGUUUUUCAUUCAUCUCCUCAAGUAACCUAUAAAACUUUGAUGUUUCUCUUCUAAGUUGUUGGUUACAUACAUCUAUUCUAGUUCACCAAAUUCAUGCAUUUUAACAUUGGACUGAUUAAAUCCUUCAUUUUGGGGAGAAAGAUUAUGAAAAUUUUGGUUAUGAAUGUUAAAAGCAUCUCAUAACAUGCCUUCAAUGUCAUCUGCUAUAAAGGGAUCAUGUUGGUGAUGGAAAGCUUUUGAUGUUGAAAGAAUUGUAGUGGAAGACCUUGACUGUACAGACUCUCCAUGAAAAUACCAAUUAAUAUAUCCCGAUAGAAAUCUAAUACAAAUUAAAAUGCUCAUAAACAACUUGACGCAUUUGCCACUUGAUAUUAGCAUAUUUCACACAUGAGCAUAAUAUCAUAUUAUCUUCACUUGUAUUCUCAAAUGUAAAAUUAAGAAAAAUUUUUACUCCAUCUAUGUACUCUUGACUUAAUCUUGACUUUUUCAUCCAACUUUUAUCCAUUUAUUAGUUGCUACAUUAUCAAACCAAAUGUAUAUAAAUAACUAAUAUGAAAACGAACAUGUAUAAUUGCAUAGUUUACUAUGUUUUAAACAAAAGAUAAUAACAAGACCAGUGCUUACACAAAAUGAGAACUCCUUGUUGUGCAGUAAUUUAUCAGCUAUUAGAUAUUAUGAUUAUUAAAACUCUGUUGUUAACGUAGAUAGUACCCAAGAGUAUUUAUAGUUGGGGUUGACAUAAGGUGUAAUAAGGUGGGUUUUGUAGAAAAUUUUUUUCACCAAAAAAAAAAUUAUGAAUUGCAAAAGUUGAAGGAAUAGUCAAAUGAAGUAAAAGCUAAAGUCAAUAAGUUAUGAAUAGUCAAAAUAGGGUUCUAAAACAUAAUGCUAGAAUAAUAAAAAUGGAAGGAAAGGGAAAGUAAAUUGUACUUAGUCUGAAAAGAAAAAUAGUAUAAUAAUGAAGAUGAAGCUUGAAGUUGGUGAUUGGAAGCGUUAAGUUUGGGAAGAUUUUUAUUGGAUAGGAUUAUGGAAGGCAUUUACUAAUAAAAAACAUCAACAAUAAUUCUCUCAUAAAUAUUUUUUGAAUAUAAUAUAGAUGCUUUGAACAUAUCACCACAUAAAUUUUAACACGGUUAUUGAAGGCGUAUAUCCAAGAAAGAUACCUUUAAUAAUUUCUAUCACAAUUUGUAUAUAAUUAGUGAAAGCGGUUGAAAAAAAUAAUACCUUUAAAAUUUUUCCUAAAAAACUUUUUUCGGAUUAGUAAAGGUGUCUCUGAUUAUGAUACGCCUUCAAUAUACCACGAUGAUUAUGGAAGGCGUUUAUUCGAAAAGACGCAUUCAAUAUACCUUUAAACUUAAUAAUCCAUUACUAAAGGCGUUUGUUAAUAACAGACACCUUUAAAAUUUUUUCAUUAAAAAUUUUGUAAAUUAUUAAAGGCAUUUUCUACUGUAAAAUGCCUUCUAUAUACUACCAUAAAAAUUCUAACACUGUUAUUGAAGGCGUAUAUCCAAGAAAGAUGCCUUUAAUAAUUUUAUCACAAUUUGUAUAUAAUUAGUGAAGACGGUUGUAGAAAACAAUACCUUCAAAUUUUUCCUAAAAACUUUUUUGGAUUAGUAAAGGUGUCUUUUAUUAUGACACGCCUUCAAUAUAUCAUGAUGGUUAUGAAAGGCAUUUAUUCGAAAAGACACCUUCAAUAUACCUUUAAACUUAGUAAUCUAUUACUGAAGGUGUUUGUUAAUAAUAGACACCUUCAAAAUUUUUCCACUAAAAAUUUUAAAAAUUAUUAAAGGCAUUUUCUACUGUAAAAUACCUUCUAUAUACCACCAUAAAAAUUCUAACACUGUUAUUGAAGGUGUAUAUCCAAAAAAGAUACCUUUAAUAAUUUCUAUCAUAAUUUGUAGAUAAUUACUGAAAGCGAUUGCAGAGAACAACACCUUCAAUAAUUUUUCUAAAAUAAAUUUCUUAAAUUAUUAAAGGUAUUUUUUAUUAUGACACACCUUCAAUAUACCACGAUGGUAAUGAAAGGCGUUUAUUAAAAAAGGCACUUUUAAUAUACUUUUAAACUUAGUAAUCCAUUACUGAAGGCGUUUGUUAAUAACAUACGCCUUCAAAAUUUUCUCACUAAAUAUUUUAAGAAUUAUUAAAGGUAUUUUUUUACUGUAAAAUGUCUUCUAUAUACUGCCACACAAAUUUUAACACUGUUAUCAAAGGCGUAUAUCCAAGAAAGAUGCCUUUAAUAAUUUCCAUCACAGUUUGUGUAUAAUUACUUUAGGUGGUUACAGAUAACAAUGCCUUCAAUAAUUUUUCAAAAACAAAUUUUUUGGAUUAUUAAAGGCAUCUUUUAUUAUAAAACGCCUUCAACAUUUUGUUAUAAACUUUGAAAAUCCAUAAUUAUUGAAGGUGAUUUUUUACUGAAAAUGCCUUUUAUAAUUUUUAAGAAUUAGAAAAGGUAUUUUUUUUAUAAAAUAUGCCUUUAAUAAGUUGGUUGGACAAUUUUAAAGGCUUAUAAUUAAAGGCAUAUAAUUAAAGGCAUCUUUUUUUUUUUGUAAAAAAUGCCUUCAAUAAUCUCCAAUAAAAUUUUCAGGUGAUUAUUGAAGGCGUUGUUCUAUGGAAAUGCCUUUAAUAAUUAAUUUUAUAUUCAUUUUCAUGCCCUGAACAUAGGAAUUUGUAGAGGGCUGGCACACAGAAUGAUUAAAAGCUGUGUUAUUCAACCAAACAAACCAACCCUUAAACACAUUUCUAGCAGACCAUUACUUUCUUUCUCCCAUUCGUCGCCACCAACCUUCAACAAAUCACGCUGUGAACCUUUGUUUUAACCAAUAUCGGUAAGUUUUUUUUUUUAGUUUACUGUAUUAUUUACAAUAUUCAAUAGAGAAUUUUUGUUUUUUUAGUUCCUUAAUAUUGACAUAUGCGUUUAUAUAUUUUCAUUAACAUCACCGUCAACAUAGUCAUCCAAGAUUCUCUUCAUAUUGCAAGUAUGUUGUUUCUAUAUAGUACGCAUUAAAUAUUAUGGUUUGCUGAACCUUGUUGACUAAUAUUGUAUUGUCGAAUGGUAUUGUAUAAUAUUGAGGGUCUGAAUAAUAUUUCAUGCUGAAUGGUUUGCUAAACCUUGUUGUCUGAUAUUAUUUUGUUGAAUGGGUUUGAAUGAAAUUGAGAGCUGAAUGGUGUUUCUGAAUGGUUUGCUGAAGGGUGUGUAUGAGCACAUUAAUGAAUGAUGUGCUAAAUGUUGUUUCUAUACAUAGUAUGGUAUUAGUUGUAUUAAAUUAAGUACAAUGAUCAAUUUAGAGGGUCAUAUUAUGUAAUUCGUAUAGUUAUUAUCAAUAUUACAGGUAAUAUAAACUCCGAACAACAUCAUUCUUUUUCUAAUGAACAUGCAGAAUAAAGAAAUGUAGGCCAAAAAAGAAAGAAAAUGGGCUUAAAUAAACAAAUCAAAGUGACGGACACAAAAAUUCAUAUUGACUUCAAUCAAAGUGGGCAGUCUGUGUCGAAAAGAGCUGUCAAGAUGGCUACUCGUAUUGGAGCCAUCAUCCGUUAAAAGAUUUCAAUUACGUACACUGAUUGGCAAUGAGUUCCUGAUGAUUUAAAGGAUGAGAUAUGGCAGUUCGUUGUGGUAUGUUUAUUCAACUAUUUUGUAAAAUUUGUUAUAUGAUCAUUUAAUUGAAAUUCAAUGUGUUGAUACUAUUUGUAUUAAUUUAUUUAAGAACGGUUCGACAUUCCAAUUGAGUGUCAAAAAAUUAUGUGGCAAUCUGCUAGGAAAGCUUUCAGAGACUUUAAAAGUAGAUUGACAACCCAAUAUAUUUUACCGCUGGCUGGUGAAGGUGAUAUUUUGGCUGUUCCACCUAUGGCAUAUGAAGAUGUCACAAGUGUUGAAGAUUGGAUAAAUUUUGUUCAAUAUCGACUUUCAGAAGAUUUUUUGGUAUGCAAACCCAUUACCAAAUUAGUCUAAGUUUAUAAAUCUUUAUGCAAUAUAGCCUUUUAUCUUCAUAUAUGAUUUACGUAAUUUCUUGAUUUUGUAAAAAAUCAAAGAACAACAUUAGGACAUUCAGUCAAACAGCAAUAUCACCAUCGGACAGUAAGAAAAGGAUAUGCAAAUGUGAAAUAUGAGCUUGUAUGUAUUCGCACACUUGUUUUAUACUUAUUAAUGAAUAUUUAUGAACAUUCAUUUCAUAUAUUUUGAUUCUUUUAUUACGGUAAUUUAAUAGGAAUCAGUGAGUUCAAACACAAAAGUUUUCAUAUGGGAUGUCUAAAAACAAGGACAUUUACGGAAAGAUGGAUCCUUCACGGAUGAAGCAACCGAGAAAAUGGUAAAAAAGAUUGUAUGUAUAACUACUUUUUUGAUAUAAUGUAUGACUGGCAUUGUGGUUGUAUGCAUGAAUGUAUACUAGUUUGUGUAGAUUUGUUCUAACAGCCUAACUUAUUAUUAUCUUUUAGGAUGAUUAUGCUGCCAAAGUAAAAUCUAGUGAACUGACAACCCAGUAUAGUGAAAAUCCUUUGUCUUUAGCAUUAGGUUCUAAAGAAUGGCCUGGUUAGGUUCGUAGGGUUGGUAAAUUUGUCUUGCCAUCAACGUAUUUUGGUAAACAACCAAAAAUCCCAUGAAUGAGAAAUGCACAAUAUGAAGCAAUAAUUGAGCAACAACAGCAACAAAUUAAUGACCAAGAGCAAUGCCUCAAUGACUAACAGCAAAGACUCACUACUUUGAAGUCCAUGUUGGCAGCAAUGCAGUAGGUUAUGCCUGUGCCUCGACCUGAUAGCAUCAUUCCCGUACGAGAAGCUUCUGUUGCCAGUCCCAUCAUCUAUUACCACCCAAAAAGUAUGAUAUUGUUUAUAAUUUGAAUAUUAAUUUGUUUAUUAUAUUAAUUGAUUUAGUUUUAAUACUUAUAUUUUAUUAAAUAUUAUAGGAAGAUGUUCAAACUCAAAGUCUGACCCUUGUCUAGGCUUCCAUGGAUGAGUUAACAAAAUAUUCGCUGGAGAAUUGUGCCAAUGAAAACUUCAUAUCCAUUGAGUCUGAGGAAGACUUAUUUGAUAAACAAUCAUUUUCUUUCAUUGGUGUAAAUAAGGUGAAAGAAUUUUGUGAAAUGGAUAAAUUAUCAGCUGCUGAAAUCGUUGCUUAUAUAGGGUUAGCUUAUAAAUACAAAUAUGCACAUCCAAUAUGUAGUAAGUUAGUAGUAGGGUGUAAUACUAACCAACAGUGUUGAUUGUCAUUGUGUAGCUUCCUAUAUAGAGAGCUAAAGGAGAGACAGUUGACAAACAGAUUUAGAUUCAUUGACCUCAACUUUAUUAGUGAACAGAGUGACACGAUUGUAUAUUGUGCUAAUCAUGUGAUCCUAUGCAUGAAAAUACCGACUGAUUAUUAUUUGCUCCCGUAUAAUGCGUAGUAAGCUAUAUUCCAACCUUAUUUACUCCAACCUACUCUAUUUUAUGAUCUGAUGCGUAUUCUGAGUAUAUCAUUGUUAUUAUUUUGCAGUCGUCAUUGGAUGUUUAUUGUGAUUGAUACCAAAUCCUUAAUGUCAUACUUUCUUAAUUCAGUUAAUCUAACGGCGAUGCCUAACCCUGAUAUUCAAACUUUUAUAAAGAGGUUUUAUAAUACUUUAUUAUAUUAUAUAUGUUUUGUUUGUUUAUAAGAAAUUUUAUUUAUGUUCCCACUAAUUUUUUUCUUUUCAAUUUAGGAUAAUAUCUGUAUUCAAUAAAAAGAUAAAGAAAUCGAAAUGGGUGUCAUUACCGGUAAAUGUCAAAUUUAUUCUUUUAAUGCUAAGUUUGUUUAGAUAAAUAUUUUUUAGAUCGACUCAAUUUAAUUUUUAGGCACUUCGUCAACUCGGUAAUACUGAAUGUGGAUAUUAUGUCUUUCGUUUUAUGUGGGAGAUAGUGUUACAUGAUUUUAUGACCACACCAUUGAAGUUAGUAUAAAUUUCAUAAACUCGUUAUAUAUUCAAAAAAAUAAAAUGGUACAUUAUGUUCUCAUUUCUUAACAUUUACUUAUGAUAUUUUUUUUUAGUGAGAGGGUAAAGAAAGCUUCACGGAAGAGGAGCUGGAUGAAGUCUGUAAAGAAUGGUGUAAUUAUGUAUUGUCAUUUAUCAAUUUUUAUAAACCUUCAGGUUAGACAUUGUUAGUUGAAUGUAAAUAUAUAUGGAACAAAUUGUUAUAAUGUUUUUAACAUGUCAUGUUGAAUGGAAACUUUAAGUUUGUACAUUGGGGGUAUUGGUUUAAUAUUAUUGUUACACUUAAUAUGAAUAACUAUGUGUACUUAAUAAAUUACUGAGUACGAUUAUUUCAAAAAAGUAUAUUAAUAAAACACCGUUAUUAGUUUUAAUUUCGGAUGUGUAGUUCAUUUUUUGAAAUACAACAAUGUUCAUUAUGCAAAUUCCAAAAUGUAAUUCAUAGUAUCAGAUAUAUAAAUCAAAUAUUUUUUUGGGCAUAAAUAUGCAACUGACAGCAAACAUUUUUUUUGGGCAUAAACCUACAAUUGACUUCACAUAUAAAGUAUCAAUUAUGUUUUUUUGAUACGAUUAAUGAAGACAUUUUUAGUAAGAAAACGCCUUCAAUCACCUCCGUAAGAAAACAUUGAAGGCAUUUUUUUACUAAAAACGCCUUCAAUAAUCCCCUAGAAAAUUAUUGUCUGGAAUAUUAAAGGCAUUUUGGAUAAAAAACACCUUCAAUAAUACCAACUAAAAAUUAAUCGAAUGGAUUAUGAAUGACAUUUUCCUACAAGUAAUGCCUUCAACAAUCCGUAACAAAAUGUUUAUGAAUGUGUUUUUAGAUAUACCCGCCUUCAAUAAUCCAACUAUUAAAAUUUAUCGUUGAGAAUAUUAAAGGCGUUUCGAGCUAAAAACGCCUUCAACUAUCCUAUCCAAGUUUUGUCUGUGUAAUAAUGAAGGCGUUUCUUACAAAAUCGCCUUUAAAAAUUAAAAAAAAAAUUACUAAUUGGAUUAUAGAAGGCGAGUUCGGCUAAAAACACCUUCAAGAAUCGACUCAAUAUUUUUCUUAUCAAUUAUUAAGGGCGUCUCUCAACAAAAAACAUCUUCAAUAUUCUAUGAAAAUUUUUUUAAAGCAAUUGGUGAAGACAUUUUUGCCAAGAAAACGUCUAGAAUAAUAAAUAAUAAAUAAUCUAUACCUAAAUCCAAAAAAAAGCUAAAGGACGGAUCGUACCAACAACCUUAUGGUAAACAUUCGUACUAUCAAAACAAUUUAAUAAGCUUAAUAUUGAAUGUACUUAUGAAGAAAAUAAAUUUAAUAAGCUUGAAAAAAUUUUUGGUCCAAAUAUUAAAGGCGUUUCUUAUAAACAACGUUUGCAUUAAUCUCAUACAAUUUUUUAUGACGUAAUUAUUGAAGGUGUUAUCUGUCAAAAAUAUGCCUUAACUAUUGACCGAAAUUUUUAAUAAAAAAUAUUCAAGGCAUUUUAGUCGAAAAACGCCUCUAAUAUCAAGUCUUGAGUGGCGUUUAUAAGUAACAACGCUGCUAUUUGAAUAUUUAGUGGUGUUUGGAUAAUAAAUGCCUGAAGUUUUAUAAAAACACGGAAGCUAACGAUCUUUGUAAGUGAAAGACCGCUAUAAAACUGCCACUAAUACGUCAUUUUGUUGUAGUGGGAAACUUAGUUACAAACUUUCCUACUUUUUUCUUUUUUCAUUUUUUUUAACAUUUAACACAAAUAAAUCAAACAAUUACAACUUUAGAUAAAUUGAGAUGUUUACGGUACGAAAUUUGUAAAAAUUUUACAUGUAGUUUACAUUUAUAAGUGAUGAAUUUUUAUAUAAUUUUUUAAUAUUAUUAAAUAAUUAUAAUUUUAUAGGAAAAAAAUUGUAAAAUUACAUAAAAAGGGAUUUCUUUUGAAGAAAAAAUCAGUUGGUAAGAAUUUAGUAAAACCAAGAACGAAAACAUAAAUUUAUCAUUGUAAAAUAAUAUAUGUAUGAUCAAAUUUCUUUGCAUAAACAAGAUUUUAGAUUUCGGUCAUGCUUUUUUUUUUUUUUUCAUAAUUAAGUUUUCUUUUAUUGAUUAUAUACCAACCAUGAAGAUAGAAACUCUUGCAAGAUUUGUAGACCCCAUUUGAUGUAAAGCUUUGUUUGGAUGAUAGACGGUUCAAUCUCAAAACGAACGAAACAAUGAAAAACAAAUCUAAAUAUCAAAACUACGUGAUGAAAUGAUAAAAAAAAAAAAAUUUCUUGUCAGCCUUCCAAAUGAAAAGCAGUAGCCAUGAAAUUUUGUUGAUGUUUCAUCGAUGUGGUCCUGGCUUAACCACAUCUCAAACAGGAAAUUGAUUGGUUAAAGGGAAAAGAAAAGAAAUUUCAUGGAAUCAAUUGCUAGGAGCAGGAGCGUGUAAAAUAUGGUAAAAAAAAUCAAAUCAAAUCACAAACAGAGUUAUUAAGAGUCGUGAAAUAUCACAUGGAAAUUAGUUCCAUUUAAUCACGAGAGAAUAACAAAGGCCUGCUUGCUAGCUGCUGCUAUUGUUGUUUGGCAUAAAUCCAAAACUAUGCAAAUAGAAGUUUGAAAAUUUCUUUAUUAUAUUGUUAAACUCAUAACAGCUUAGAACUCUCUUUCUCUAUUUUUUUAAACUAUAGUUCUCUUUUGGUUCCAUAUAUGGAACUAAACUGUAUAUACAAAACUACAGAGAUGAUAUGACCAACUGCAGAAGCUCAAAAUUUUUGCCCAUUGGACCCAACAAAAGUUUUGCUCUUUUUUCUUAUGUUUUCAGCUGGAUCUCUUUAGUUUUAACCAAAAAAAAAGAGCAACCCAAUAGUCUUUAAGAAGCUCCUACUCCAAGGAAAUCAAUGAAGGGCAGGUUGAUCUUCUCAUUUCCAUUUCCACUUUCCCCAGACAUGGAGUGGUUGGUCCUAUUUGUGCCCACUGACUCAGCUGGUGAAACUUCUGAGUUUGAAUCUGAUGAGUGAGUAGAUUGGUCCACACCCAUAACCACUCCCAUUGGUCCUUGUUGGUAAAAUACAUUACCGGUGCCAUAAAACUUGUCAAAAUCCCCAUUUCCUCUGGUCACAACUUUUUGACCUGAUGAACCUGCAAAACACAAAAUUACAGAGCAUUUAUUUAAUAAAUUAUUAUAAGAUAAAAUAAAACAAAAUCAACCCAACAUGAAAAAUAUAAGCAUUGUACAAUUGAAAAGCAAAUGAUCAUUACAACCGUUGGUAAAUAUAGGAAAAGUAAGCAUACCCAUUUGGUGAACUGGACUAAAAAAGGUGCAAACUCCAGCGGGCACUUUAGCUGAUGAGGGAGUGAGGGAUAGAUCAGUGCAAGUAGAGGCAGAUUCAUCUAUGUUGCUAGAAAUGAUUGAUUGAUCACUGCAAGCAUUGUUUUGAAUAGUCUCAUCCAAUCCUUUAGGGAGGGCCUGAGAGGCAGAAGAAGAUGAAGGCUUUCUCCUUCUAUAAAUGCUUGAUUGCUCUCUAUGUUUCCUAGCCAUGAUCACAUGCCAGUGGUUCUUUACUGCGUUAUCAGUCCUGCCAGGAAACAGUCUAGCAAUCAUUGCCCAUUUGUUACCGUACAGCCUAUGUGCAGCUAAGAGCCUCUCCUCUUCUUCCUCAGUAAAAGCUUUCUUGUUAAUACUUGGAUCUAGCUGGUUAAACCAUCUUAAUCUACAACUCUUCCCUGCCAAUCAUUCAACAAAAAACAUCCAUUUAGCAAAAAGAUCAUUAGACUUUUACAAAACUAAUGAUAGCAAAAUGGAACUUUAUUUGAUUUAACUAAUCAGAUUCAAAGCAUUGUUAAGAUCUUCCCUUUAAAAUGUAGAACAAAAGCAAAAAAGAAAAACAACUUUCUCCUUUUCAAGUGAAAUAAAUCCAAAAACAAAAAAAGACUUUCAUAGAAUGUUGAUAAUUUUUGUUUGACAGAAAAUUUUGAGUUACCUGAUCUUCCUUCGAGAUGUUCAGCUAUCAAAUUCCAAUUUUGAGGCCCAUAUUGAGCUACAAGCUCCUUCAGCUUAGAAUCUUCAGCUGGUCUCCAAUGACCUCUAGCACAAAGCUUAGUGUGUCCAAUUUUGGUCCCACCAAGAGCACCAGAGUUCUUAUUACUUUCAUCUUCACCACUUAAAUUCAAAGACAGUCCACUUUUUUCAACACCCAAAAACCCAACUUUUCCAUCACAAGCAGCAACUCCCUUACUUCCCCUGCUUUCUGGCGGCUCAAAGCUCAAACAUUUAUUGCUUUGUUCCAUUAAAGAGCUUGAAAUCUGAAACCCCAUUCGAGAGUUUUUUGUAUCUCUCUCUAUUGGAUGAGAAAAAAUAGCAGGAGGAGCUAAAAAGUUCAUCUCUUGAACCACCCCAUUAUAGCAUUUAAAAUCGUUAGUUAGAAUUUGUAAACUCAUUGUUAUCAAAAACCAGGAUAAACCCAGAAAAGAAAACCAAGAAAAAAAACUGUUAAGAGGACUAAGAAGAAAGGAACAGAUGAUCAAAGAAGAAAGAAGCUAGGUAUCUCUGUCAGCCAUUUGAGAAGAAUGUUUGGGUAGAGGGAAAGGAGAGGAAAGAAAAGGAAAUAGGAGGAAGAGAGAGAGUUGAGAAUUGAGAGAGUUAGUCUCUUGUUAAUCAAAUGUGUGGGGUAGAGAAGAAUCAAAGGAAAACAAGGUUUAAAAUGGCAAGGGAUUUUAGUUAUUUUCACUGCUUGGAAAAAGCAAAGUUAGCAUUAGCAAAAAUAAAAACAAAAAGAAGAGAAGAACCCACACGAUUCUUGCUCUCUUGUUCUUGCAUUUAAAAAAGCAAAGAUAAAUGAGGUCAGGGCAGGGUCUUAGGCGCCCAUGUCAGAACGAGGACUGAGUAGGAGACCAAUUUAUUUAUUUAUUUAUUAAAGAAGUAAAAAAAAUAAAAAAUGAAAGUCUGGGGCUUUGCAUGCAACUCGAGAACCGCUCGUGUGGGUGGGUGGGUGAGUGUGUCUCUCUUUGGUUUUGGAUGUGUUGGUACUGAUGUUGGCCGUGCCUCGCUUUCUUUUUCUCAUCGGGCUUUGGAACAGCACCAGAAUCUGUUUGUCUCUUUCUCAAACCCUUUUGCUUCUUUUUUUUUUUUUUUCCAAAUGAUAAAAUUUAAAAUAAAAACCGAAAAAACAAAAAAUUUCAAAGUGAAAUGAGAUUUUUUAAUUCAAAUGGAAAUGGUUAAUUUAUUUUUUAAAGAUGAUUCUCGGAAAAUUAAAAUUCAAUUUACAAUGUUUGUAAAAUUUUUUAAUUUCUAAACUAAGGCUUUUAUGUCAAAAAAAAUUUUAAAAUUUUAAUGUUGUCCCCACUACUUAUUCUCUAUUUAUUUAUUUUUUUACUUUUUUUUACUAAUUUUGAUAGCAUAAGGGCCGAUUUGCUCAAAUUUAGUUAAUUAUUUUGGAUUUAAAUUAUUUGAAGUUCUAUUAUUCUUGAGUUAAAAUCAUUUAUAUUUUUAUGUAGUUAAAACAAUUAUAGUCUUUUCGUCUCACAAAUCAAACUUGAAUUACCAAAUUAGAGAUUUUUCAAUACCAAAUUGUGUCUAACAUUGAGUUUUUCAUUACGAAUUAAUAUGGAGCAUGUUAUUCUUUCAAAACUAAAAAGAAUGACGAUAUGGCCAAAAAGACAUGAGAGAUUCCCAACACAGGCAUAGAUUUUCCCAUUUCAACAAGGUAUCCUGGAUGUUAGUGCCUCUUUGGAAAUUAAACUUAUUAACAGUAGAUUAAUUAUAUAUCUUUAAUAUCUAUUGCUGUGUCAAGUUUUUUUCAUAAAUAUGCACCCAACACACAUUUUUCAUUUAGUUAUAAGUUAGAAGUAUAAUUAUAGGUAAAGCCGUCUUGAUUAGGCCUACUCACUCAAAAGCCAAUUUGAGUUCAUUUAAAGUCACAACUUUAGAUUUUCUCUUCUUUCUACAAUGAUGUACUUGAGUAUUGAUCAAAGCCAUGCUUUUUGCUUUGAUACAUGCAUAAAUGUACAUGAAUUUUCUUAUUUGUCUUUGUAAAAGUAUCAUAAAUCUUAAUGGGGGACAACAAAAGCAAUACAAAAAAAAAAAAAUUACAAUCUUUUUUUUCCUCAUUUACGAGACGGAGCUUUUGCAUGCACAUGAAAGGGAAUGAAACUCGUAAGCAACAAAAAACAAGUGGUAAUAUUAUGUAAAAGGUUGGUGCAAAACCCCAUAAACUUGAAGAUUUUUUUUUUUCAAAUGAUUCCCACCACUUAGACCCAUCACCAAACUUAAAAAUAUAUUAUAAAAUAUUUGUUCUCAAAUUUCAUAGAUACGAAGAUAAUUAAUUAAUUAAGAAAGUGAUUGUUGAUAAUAAAACCAAGUGCUUGACUAGUUUUUCCACAAUCAAAAAUAGUAUUCUUUUUGGAUUAGGGGAAUCAAAUAGUUUAAUUAUUAUAGCCUUCUUUUUAUUUUCUUUAUCAUUUCAUUGAAAAACAAACAAAUAAAUAUUUGUUACUUUCUUUUUUGGUGGGGUGAGUCAUUCAACUUCCCUUUUCUUUUCUUUCUUUUGAUUGAUUUUUAGGUGACUUUAAUUAUUUUUUUUCUUUGUUGAUUCCUUUUGACUGUUGAAAUCAUUGUCCCACUUUUAUGCUUUCAUAAAAUAUUUUAUAUUUUCAAUUAAAAAGCUGAGUAUUUUAUAUUUAUUGAUUAAUUCUUUUGAUAUUAGCUUUGAUCUUGUUAUAAAAAGCAAACAUUGAAUGAUGACACAUGUUGUAUAGUGACUCAGAUUCACUAAGAUAGCUUGAACAACGUUAAUAUUCUUUUCUUAAAUAUUAAACUAUGUAAAUUUCUUCAUUUUUUCUAUGGACAAAAGGUAACCCAUUAAAUUUUUAGAGAUUAAAAUUCAACUUACAAUACCAAAAUGUAUAGUUUAAUUUAAUUAAAUGGUAAGCAUGAGAUAAAAAAAGUUGGUGAAUGGUGGCAAUUGGAAUGCAUGCUUCAAAUUCAAAUUUUAAUUUAGUUAAUUCAUAUAAUCACUCUUAAAAAAUGACGGCCAACAGAUUUAAAAUUCAAAUUUCAAUACUUAUAAUUUUUUCUUUUAUUAUAAUAAUGAAGUCUCUUUUGUACAAAAAAUACAUGUCUCUAUAGAUCUAAAAACCAUAUUCUUUGUAUAAAAUUAUUAUUGGAUUAAUUUAGUCUCCUUUAACCAAAUUAAUUAGAAAAUAAAUAUUCUUUUUUCUUUAACUUGGAUAGUUACAUUCAUUAUUCAUAAAAGAACAUAAUUAUUUGGUAUGAUCUAUAAAUUAUAAAAAUUAAUAGUGAAUAAGUUUCCACUGGCCAAUUUUCCUGCAAAGCUUAGUCAUAUAAUAUGUAUGUUUUAUCACAUUUUUUAAAUGGAAAAGUUAGGAGUGAAUAGAACAAGUGGGAAUCAGGGCAAGGGGUUGUGAAAGGAAACAACAGUUCACAUGCAAAUCAAUGAUGUAUAACAUAUGAAUUAGGAUAUCUACAUAUAAUAUUGAAACCGAAUUGAUUUAAUAAAUAGACAUAGUAAAAACAAAUUAGUAACUAAAAAAGGUGAAUCAAACCUCCCAUUUUGAUUAUUAAAUUUGUAAUAUUUAUUGCAUGAAACUAAAUUGCAUUUGGCACCAAAGAUGAAGGUCAAAAUUUACAAUUUUACCCCAGAUACUGUAAUUUUAUUUUAUAUUUAAAAUUAUCAAAAUUUGAACUUGAUCACAAAAUUAAAAGUCUAAUACUCUACCAAAGGUUUACAUAACUGUUAAAAAAAAUUAGUAAAAAGCUUAAAAUUAAAACUAAGACUAACCAAAAAAAAAAAAAGUGAUGUGGUAAUAAAUUUUAGAGUAUCUUGUUCUAAAAAUGGAGAAAGCUAUCACACUUAUCAUGAAUGCAUGGGAAACCACUGUCACAAGAAAAAUGGCUAUGCAAAUUAGGUUGUAACGUAUUUAGAGAGACUCUGUGUUUGUUUUUAUUUGUUUCAAAAGUAAUGAUGGGUUUGUUUGUUUGUUUGACUGAGGAAAAGAUCUUUGUGGGUCUUGGGGGAGACAGCAAAACCAAAUAAAUUCUAAUACCAAAUAUUAAUAUUUUCUAUAAAUAAUAAAUUCACACCCCCAAAUAUUUCCUCUUUUAAUAAACAGUCAUACACAUCAUCAUCACUCGGAUCUCCAUCACACGCAAAUCUCAUCUUUUUCCUUAUUUGACAAAAUUCUUCAUGUUAUGAAGCAAAGAGCAAAGGGAAAAGAAAACCCAAAAAUUGCAUGUACAAUAUGAGGCCAUUAUGCCAAUUGCUCACGUUUAGGCUUGCUUUGAAGGAUCUUCUCAAAAAAAAAAAAAAAACUAAAAAAAGUUUGCUUUGAAGGAUUGGGAAGGAAAGUCAAGGGUAGAGCUCUUUUUGAUAAGUCCAAGUUACAUAAAUGAUUCAAUAAAUAUUUGGUACAAUUAGAAAGGAUUAAUCAAGGUAUUAUUGUAAUGUAUUAAUCAAACUAAUUAUUGGAAAUUCGGAACUUAAUUCAAGUUGUUUAUAUGAGUACUCUUAAUAGUAAUAUUUAGCCGAUUUAAAAUUUAAAAUUUAAUAUAUACAAUCUUUUCCAUUAUCUUCAAACUAUAUCCUUUUCAUAAAAAAAAAAAAAAAAAACUAAUUUUUAGUAGUCGUGUCUUGUUGAAAGCAUAUAUCACCUAAAAUAAUUAUAUUAUAAUUAACUAAUCACAAUUUAAAUUUAUGUGAGGUUCAUUAAAAUUUUAUAUAAAAUUCACACUUAUAAGUGAUAAAUUUUUAUAUAAUUUUUUAUUAUAAUUAGAUAAUUUUAAAAUUAUAAUAAAAAAAUUACAAAUAAAAUGUACCCGAGUUCUAUUAUUACUUAUUAUGGUGGUAGCAGAGAAUUAGGUGGAGACAAUUUUUUAUAGGUUUAAAUUUGAAUUUAAAUGAGAAGUUAAGUGAUAUUAUUGAUUAAUUUUAACUUUAAUAAUUUGAAAAAACCAAAAUUUUAUUAAAGGAGUCUACCAAUAAGACAUUUCAGCAUUUAGAAAUCGAAAGUCUAUUUUACAAGUUUCGAAUUUACAGUUAUGAAAAAAUGAAAGAGAUAGUGUCAAACCAGUUUUAAUUAUUUUUUACUAAUUGAAAGUAGAUUUUUCAAACUCAAAUUUAAAUAUAUAAUUUUUUAGUCAUUCAAAGGGCAGAGCCUUACAUUAAAGGGGAGAGAGAAGAUUGGGAUUCAAACCUCAAUCUUGAUAUUUUCUUUAAGAUUAUCUUGAUCAUUAAAUCAAGUAGUUGAAGAUAAACUCAAAUUUAAAUAUAAAAAAUAUAAAUGAAUUAUUAAAUUAAAUGUUUAGAAAUAUAAUUUUUUAUUUAUAUAUAAUGACUUUUCACAUUUGGCAGUCCUUAACUUCAAGAUUAGAAUCUGAUAUAAAUAUGGAAAUAAUUUUUUUUCCUUUUUCCAGGAAAAGGAAAAAAAAAGAAACCCUCCAAAAAGUGGAAAACUUGAAGCAAACAAAUAAUAAAACAAAGGAAAGGCAGAGUCUGAUACAAAGAAAAGAUCAAAUCACAAAAGAAAAGUGAGUGAAAGAAAGAUCUCGUUUUCAUUGCCCCAAAUCUCUGUAACUGAAGCCAGGAAAAGGAACUCCCACAAGAAUCCAAAACCCAAAGCAACCUCACAUCAAAUUAAAAGAGUGAGAAAUAAAUAAAAUAAAAUAAAAUCUCUAACUACAUUUCAUGCAUUUCAAUGUCAAGGGCAAACUCUGUUUCAUAUUAAAAUAUUUACAUAAAGGUAUUCGUAUAUUUGAUUUAAUAAAAAAAUAUAUUUUUAUAUAUAAAAAGUAAUUUUUGAAUUACUUUUUAAAUAAAAAUUUUACAUAAAUAUUAUUAUGUGAUUAUCGAUUCUACAUGAUUUCUUUUUCAUUCAUUCUCUCUUGUGUUUAUGUGAUUAACAUAAGAUUUAUUGAUAAAUUAUUAAAUUAUUAAUUUCAGUCAUUAAAUUUUUAUUUUUAAUAAUUUUAACUUUUAAAUAUAAAAAAUAAUUGUUUGUACCAAUGUUUAUGCUCCCAUCAUCAAUUAAUUUAAGUAACGCACAUAAGAGUGUUUUUUUAUUAAAGAUUCGGUCAAAUUAAAAUUUCAAAAUGGAUAUUACAACGGUUAAAAAUUUAUACUCCUCCUAGGAAUUUUCAAAAAAAAUCUGGAGACAAAUGAAAUCAAAUUCAUCAGAUAAAAAAAAAAAUUACACUUCAUUAAGUAAUAUUUUAAAAUUGACGAAUUUUUUAUCAAAUUAAAAUAUAAGAGAAAUUACAAUUAUAAUCAAAUAUUAUAUCUAUAUAUAAUAUAUAACAGAAUAAUCAAUUAACAAAUUAAAAUAUAAUUAAACAUUUAAAUUGAAUUAAAACCUUCAUGAUUUUUAAACUUUUCUCUUACCACUAAACUAAAAUCACAAUAACAAUUGACGAAUAAUUUUUAAGUUAUAAUUAUAAUAAAUAUUACAUUCAUAUAAUCAAUCAAAUAAUUAUCUAUUGUAUUAUAAUAAAAUUACAAUAAUUGAAAAAUUAAUUAAUAAAUUAUAACAUAAUUAAAUAAUCAAAACCAUAUAUAAUGAGAUUUAACUUAAAAUUUAAAAUUUUAAAGACUUUCUCCUUAUCAUUAAAUUAAGACUUCAUUAGUAUUGACGGAUUUUUUUAAGUACAAAAGAAAAUUGGUCAAAAAAUUUAAAAUAUAAUCAUAAAAUUGUUAUUAUCUAGUCCAAAAAACCAUGCCUCAUCACACAUACGUUACUCUCGAGCACACAUUUAUGUCUCAUGUGAAGAAUCAGAAGUUAAACAGUUACAACACACACGUUCUAAUACUCUUGUCAACCUACGCUCCAUUAUUAAAAAAAAAAAAACAAAACUAAUAAAUGUGUUUAUAUUGUAACGUAAAAGAGAGUUGCUAGCUUUUUAAGAUUUAUUGUCAUUAUUGAAGUUUUUAUUAUUUUAAUAUAUUUUUAAGUUCGAACAACGGAUAUCCAUAGAUAUUGGUUAAGAAUAAUUAAAUAAUUAAAUUUAAAAUUUAAUUUUAAUAAUUUAUGUAAUUAUUUUAUCAAAUUUAUAAAUUAAAUCUCAAUAAUUAUAACUUAUUUUUUAAAAUUACAAUCUCAUUUGUAUAAAAAAUAUUAUUGAAAAACAUAUUAAUUUAUUUAAUAUUAUCUUUUUAUUAAAUUCAAAAGCAAAUAAUAUAUUAUUUGCAUAAUUUUUUAAAAAAAAUCAUUUAUUCCAUAAUUAAUUAAUGUUUUUUUAAAGUAUAAAAAAAAAAAUAAUGCUUUUUUAAGUGGGUUUUGCCUCGUGCAUGAAGUUUGUCCCUUUGUGGAAACCGUUUUGAAACUUUGGAGUUUUUCGAGGUCGGAAGGGGAACUUUUAUGACGGAAGCAUUCAGAGUCUCUUACACGAGCGGGUGGAUCGCGCCCGAGCACGUGUACGGUGAUUUGGAGGUUGUUCUUGAAAAGAGGAAGAAACCGUAGUAGCGAUUUUUUGUGAGGAAAAGAUUAGCCUAUAAUAAUUACGUUAUAAUUUAUUAAUUAUAAUUUUAAAAUUUUAAAUAAAAUUCAUGUGACAAAUUUUUAUAUAAUUUUAAAUAUAAUUAAAUAAUUAUUAGAUUAUAAAAAAUUGUAACUGAAAUGCAAUAGGAAUCGAAACACCUUAACAAAUUUUGGAUUGGGAAGCCCAUCUAUUUUUCAGCUUGAAUAAAAAAAUUAAAAUAUUAUAACGGUGAAAGAGUGAAAAGUAUGAAAAGUAAGUAAUUUGUAAGUUUAAAAAGCUUUCAUGAAAAAAAAAUUUAUAAAUUUUUUUGUGGAUUGGUUGUUUGUCUUGGUUUUAGAAAUUUAAUAAUUUUUCCUACUUCUAAAUUUUUUUUAGAUAAAGUAAACAUUUUUUUUUUAGUUUUUACCCUUAUCUAUAUUUUAGACUUCAUUCAAAUUAUUUUGAUAAUAGAUGUGAAAUUCAACAAUUUAGAAUGAUUUUAUUUAUUUUGCUAAAUUGAUAAGAGACUUACGUCACUGACAAAGAGUCAGAGAAGCUUUUAUAAUUAUUAAGUAUGAGGUUUUAGUUUUGUUAUGUGCCAUUGUUUUUCAACUUUACAUUGAUAUAGUUAAUUUUUGUAGUUUAUUACUUAUUUUUUAUCUUGAAUAUUAAAUGGUAAUGUUAUAUUUAUUAAGGAUUGUUUUAUUGUGACAUAAUUUUUAUUCAUAAAUAUAAGUGUUUAUGGAUCGAAUUGGGUUUGAGUAGGGUUUAUAUUUAAUAUUAAUAAUUUAUAGAUUUAUUUAGAUUUGAUUUAGUCCAAAAUUUGGAUCUCAAAAUUUUUUAAAACUUUAUUUAAAUUAAAAAAAUUAAAUUUCAAACAUACUCAUUAAACUUAAUUUAUAUAAUAAAAAAUUAAAAAAAGAUUAAAUUAAGUUUCAUAUGAUUAUAUUGAAUUCAUAAAUAUGUAAAUAUUAAAAAUAAAAAUCAUAUGUAAAUUAAAAAAAUUAUAGAAAAGUAAAACUUAAAUUUAAUAAAAUAUUUAAUUUUUAUUUUUAAUUUAUAUAUAUGUAAAUUAAUUUAUAUAUAAUUCAUAUAUAUAUAAAUAAAAAUUUGGAUCAGAUUAGACUCGAACUUUAAAUAUUUUGUAUAAGAUUGAUCCAAAAUUUAAACAUAUUUGAAAAUUAUGUUCAAAUUUAUUUAAAAAUUUUUAAUAUUUUAUCUAAAAUUUUAAAAAACUUGAAUUAAUUUUUGAAUUUAGAUAAAUGAUUCGAUUUUUGAAUAAGUUUAUUCAUGAAUGCAAUUUUUAUCAAAAAAAUUGUAAUGUUUAAUUAAUAAUUUUAUAUUUUACCAACAUAAUUAAUUUUAAAUUCUUUCCAUAAUUAAGAUUAGAUAACUAAACUCAAAUGAGUUUUCUUUACUUCGUAAAUGAAGACGUACAAGAUUGAUCUAUAAUGUUAUAUUUUAAAGUAGUUAAUAUAUAUAUUUUUAAAAAAGUACAACAACUCGAAUUUAAAUAGGAUCUGUACGACCCCAUGUCAAUCUUAACAGAGAAGUUAAGGCCAAAAUCAUCAAAACGAACAACAAAACAGUGUGGUGAUUAAUUGUCACCAUUAAUAAUCACAAAGAAUUGUUUUUUUAUUAAUUUUUUGUGGUUGGUGCCGGUGUAACAAUCCAAGGAAAAAUUUACGAGAUGACACUUAGAAUUUUAGUUUGGUCAUGUUUCUUUUUGAAACACAAAAGGACAUACAAAGCAGCCUUUGUUGAAAGAGGAGCUAAGAAAAGUAUCAUCUAUAUUUUACUACUUUAUUUGACUGACCCUUUUUUUCUGAAAGGAAUAUUUGGGUGAUAAGACUAGCCUACUCUAUAACAACAAACUUUGCAAUCAAACGAGGGAAAAAGGAAUCCAUAUAUAUAUAUUGUUAUAAUUAUUGAAUUUUUUUGGUAGAUGUGAUCAUUUAUAUAUUUAUAUAUAUAUUAAUUUAUUUAUAUUCAAUAAAUAUAAAAUACAAAAAUUAUUAUAUCAUAAUUUAUGUUAAAAUAUUAAAUAUAAAAUAUAUAUUUUAAUUCUUAUUAAAUUUAUAUAUUUUUUGUUAAAAUUUUAAAUUAUUUUUUUAUCAUAUUUAAAGUUAUAAGAUAUACUUUUGAACUUUGGCUUAGUUGCCAAAGUUGCCAAAGUGGCAAAACUGGUUGUUAUUCCAUGGAGCAACCAUAUUGAUCGAGGAGAGACUAUAAGAUUAAAUUAUUGUAAACACAAAUAAAUAAAAUAAAACUUGAUAUAUAGAACCUCCUAAAAUAUCUUAGUGAUGAUCUGGUAAGAAAAUUUCCAAUAUCACAUAUUAAUCAAUCACUAAUGCAUUACAUUGUACCAAAAACAAAGCCUCCAUAGAUGCAGCAAUGUUGCUUCGUCUUGUUUUUACCAUAAUAUAUAGUUUUUCUUAUCUAAAGAAAUCAAAAUCAUGCGAAUAUGUACAAAAAAAAAAAAUCAUAAAACACGGAUCCUUGUACACAAUUAAAUUCAUUGAUAUUGUCAUCAACUUAUAUAUAACAUAACUAUCAAACACUAUCUUAGUUAACGAAGCUUAAAGACAAUCUUUGUGUCUUAUUAAGCAUAAACGAGCUUCGUUCUGAAAACUUAUAAAUACAAGGUUUUUUAAUGAAAAAAGCAAAAUGAAAAGCAAACGAAUUAACGAGAAAGGAAAAUGACUGAAAUCAUAGUUUACGACUCUAUGCCGUUAGCAAUGUUUUUGCAAGUCACUAUCUUAGUUUUCGUGUCCCACCAUAUACUAUUUUGCCUAGCUUUCCCCUUCCUUUUCCCCUUGGUUUGUUGAAGGCUGACCCUUGUUUUGUUGCAUGCAUGGACAAUAAUGUUUUUGACCCUACAGAGACCAGAAGCCAAAAAAGAGUAUUGAAUCAUUGGGAAAAUUUUUGGUGGAAUUGGUAGACUGUUAAUCAACCAACCCAUAACUAUAGUGAAUAAGAUUGUUUUAUUUUUAAUUAUAUGUGUCUUUCUCACUUUGAUGAAGACAAAUCUUCUCAUGUGACAAACCCAAGGUCGGCUUCAUCGCGAAGGUGGGUUGUUAUUUCCUUCGUCAAAUAUAUUUUCAAGCGUGCAUGUGCGUACAGACAAAAUUUAAUUCGGUUGUAUGCUAAUGUAGAAUUAAUAAUUGGGAUUUUGAUUGUAAUGCAAGUGUGUUUAUAAAGGGAGGGAUAUAUCAUCUACAUAUAAAAGUGUGAACUCUAAAACUAUUAAAAGUGAACUACAUAAAUACUCUUACAAAUUUUAAGAAAUAAUAAUUUUACCUUUAAAUUUCUAGCAUUUUUUAUUUAUGUAUUAAAGAUUAUUUUUCAUUAAAUAUAGUAUUUAUUAUUUAAUUAUUUAAAUUAAUCCAAAAUUGUUAAAAGUUAAUAGCAUAAAUAUAUUUUAAAAAUAACAAAUUUACCUUUAAAUUUCUAGCAUUUAUUUAGUUAUUUAAUAAAUAUUAUUAGCCAUUAAAUAUAUAGCUUUUUAUUUGUUAGUUAUUUAAAUUUAAAUCAAUUAAAAAUUAUGAAUAGAAUUUAUAUAAAAUUAAACUACAUUAAAAGUUUAUUUGUGGGAUAUGGUGGAUGUAUUGUCGAAAAUUGAUCCAAAUUUACUCUUUUUUUUGUUGGAUUCUUUUUUAUUCAAUUUCAUAAGCAAUACUUUAAAUUCAUGUAAAACACAUUUCUCAUCCUAUGGGUUAUAGCAUACUAUGAGUCUGUGAUAUUAAACAAAGCAUGGACAAAAUAUUUCCUCUAUUGCUCAAUUAGUCAUUAUUUUAGUCUAAAUUAUUAUAUCAUAACAUUUAUGCCCCAAAAAUAUUUAAUUUUAUCUUAAGUAAAACAUAUAAUUUUUCUUUUUCAAGAUAGAACCUAAUUUACUCUUUAUCUUUUUUAAUAAUAUAUAUCAUGAAUCCUUAAAUAUAUUUAUAUUUUUUAUUUAUUUAAUUUAGAUCAAUUAAAAUUAAAGUUCAUACUAAAUUAUUAAUGAAAUUAUCAAAAAAUUAUUGAGAAAGAGUAAUGCAUGUAUUGUGGUAAGUUUGUAUGUUUGAUUUUUUUUAAUUUUUAAUGAUAAAUAUACAUUUAUAUGUUUAAUGAUUGCAAUGGUUGAUUUAUUUUACUAUAAUAUUUCUAAUCACUUUAUGCAAUCACGUUUUAUUGUUACAAUGCCUAAAUGAAUCUUUGCUUUAUGAACAUAAUCUCCCAUAUAUGUGAAUUGUUACUAAACUUAGAUUUAUUUUGUCUUCUAUAGAUUGAUUCUAUAUUAUAUCUAAGUUAAUUUCAAUCAAUCCUUUUUUUUUAAUUUUUAAUUUAAAAUAUUUUGUACUUAAGAUAUUUAUAUAAAACCAUAGUUAAUAUUAUUAAGAAACAUUAAUCUUGAAGAAGAGAAAUUAUUUGCUAUAAUGUUAGUUGAAUUUUUUUUUAAUUCCAUAAGUGGGUUAAAAAAAUUAACAAAUCACUCACUUAUUUUUUCAAUUAGGUUUUUUUUUUUUUAAUAUCACUCAUUUUUUCAAUUAGCCUUUUUUAAUAUACUCUGAAGCUUAAAAGGUAUGUGUGUUACGCUACUAAUUUCAAUUGUGAAAUUUAAAAACUCUACUAUAAAUAUAUUUUAUAAUUUUCCCUUGAAUAAUAUAAAUUUAUUUUUUUCAAUUAAGAAUGCUCUAGAAUGUUUUUGUAUUUUGACAGUGAAAAAUAUUUUAAUCACAUGAUUAAUUGUGUGUGUUUUGUUGAAUGAUCAAAGCUUUGUUAGUUUUGGAACCAAUUAUUAUAUUCUUUGAAUAAAUAUUGUUAUAGUUUAUUUUCUAUCAUUUGUUUAUAUUCUUUAAGUAUAUAAUUAUUAAUUUGUACUCUUAUCAUGAAAGCAUCUGUUUAAUAAUUUUUUGUACUUUAUGAGUGUGUUUAUUAUAGAUAAAUACAUGUAUCACCUAUGAUAUAUACAUAUAAAAAUGUAACCUGUAAGUAAUAUUAAAAGUGAUUUCUUAAUUUGGUACACUCCUAUUAAUAAUGCAAUGCAUGCGAAUCAUGCAUGUCCAACCAGUUCUUCAAUUCAUAAAGAAAGAAAGACUUACAAUUAAACUUAUUAGUUGCAUAAUAAAAAAUUUGAAGUAUGUGGAUGUGAAAUAAAAUAUGUUUAUUUUAUUUAAUCAUACAAUUAAGAUAAAAAAUUAAUUCAAUUGAUACUGUUAAAUUAUUUAUAUACAAAAAUAAAAUAAUGAAUCAAUUAAUAUUUCAUAUAGAUCAUAAAAUUAUUAAAUUAAUCUUUUUAUUAUUCAAUAGGUCAAUGUAUCAUAAUAUAUAUGAAAAUGGUUAAAAAAAAUAAAGGUGUUGGAUGGCAAAUGAUAAUGUGACCUUCAAUUUUGUUUUCUCUUAAUGUGUAAAGUGCUCCACUUGGAAUUUAGCCAACUUUACUAUACAAAAAUUUAUUUAAAUUUUAGCUGAAUAUUUAGAAUACUCAUAAAUAUAUACAUAUUUUAGAUUUUAUAGCCUACCUUGAAUAAGACAUUCUAUAAUUAAGAAAAUGUUUAAUAUAUAUCUAUAUUAUAUAUAAAAUGUGAUAAUUUAUUAAAUUCUCUCUAUUUAUUUUUAUUUAAUAUUUUUUAGUAAAUUAAAAUAUUAUCUACUUUUUAUUUAUUUUCUUAUUAAAAUAGUUUUUCUUUGGUUAAGUCAUUCAUGUCCCAGUGGAUGCAAGCAAUAUGGCUAGAAGGCUUAAAAUAGUUAUUCUACAAAUGAAUAAUUUAGCGUUUAUAAUAUAUUACACCUAUUAACAUGAUUUAUACAAUUAAAUUAAUUAUAGAAGAUUUAAUGGUAAAUAAAAUAUAACUUAGUAGUAAAUGUAUAAUAAUAUAUUAGCAAAUUAUUGAUAAUUUUGUUAUAAAUCAGUGAUAAUUUUGAAAAAAUCAAUAAUAACUUUAUACUAAAUUAAUGAUAAUUGUAUAGUAAAUUAUGAAUAACUUAAUAAUAAAUAAAUAAUAAUUUAGUAAUAAAUAAUUGAUAAAAUAGUGUAUGAUAACAUAAUAAUAAAUACAUAAUAAUAUAGUAUAAAAUAACAAAUAACUUAACAGCAAAUCAUUUAUACAUAAUUGUAAAUUUAUAACACAUAUUAGUAAAUUAAUGAUAUCUUAAUAAAAAAUAAAUGAUAACUUAGUAGUUAAUUAUUAAUAACUUAGUAAUAAAUCAAUGAUAACUUAAUAGUAAAUUAAUAAUAAAUUAAUAGUAAAUAAGGUUUAGUUUAAUACUCAUUCCAUCCCAAUAAAAUUGUCACAUUUUGAUUUUUGUUGGUCAAUUUUUUUCAAUUUUAAUCAUUGAUUAUUUUUUAUUUAUUAUUGUUAAAAAUAUGAAAACAAUAUUUUAAAAACUUUAAAUGAAGUGGUUUCUAAAUAUAUGUUUUGUAAACUUUAAUUUAUUAAAAUAUUUAAAAUAAUAGAUGUCAAAGUUAGAAAAAUUUAACCAAAAAAAAUCAACUCUGACAAUUUAAUUGAAACAAAUAAAGGGAGUAGUAAUUAAUUGACAAAUUUAGUAAUAAAUCAUAAGUAGCUUAGUAAUAAAUCAAUGAUAAUUUAAUAGUAAAUAAUUUAUAACUAAGUAGUAAUUAAUAAUUAGAAAUUAAAAGUAAAUUAAUAUAACUUAAUAGUUAUCAUCAGCAAAUUAAUAGUUAAUCAAUAAUAAUUUAGUAUAGUAAAUUAGAGAUAUAACUUAAUAGUAUAUCAAUUAUAAUUUAGUAGUAAAUUAGUAAUAAUAUUGUCAUAAUGUCUAGAUUCGGGGAUCUAUCGCUAGACAUUGACUUAAAGGAGUCGCCACCAAUCUUUUUUAUCUAGGUGUGAUUGGCCACCUAAAGAAUCUGUCUUUUCAAGAAACACCUAAGUUUAAGGGUCCUUAAAAGAAUAGGUUCAGGUCUACUAACCAAAACAGGGUUCGGGAGUUUAGUUACGUGUGAGGAAGGUUAUAGCACCCUCACAACGCCCAUCAAAAGAUGGUACCAGCUUAAAUUUGUAUUAUCCAAUGAGCCUUAAAAUUUUACCACGUAAUUAAUUAUUGGAAAUUAUUCUCAAUUGACUCUAAUACUUUUAGCAAAAAAUUGAGAAAAUCCCCUCACCUCAAGAGUAUGCAAGAAAAAUUACUGUUUCACUUGUAGAGGCUCCGACGUCGGAUUAUUUAAAGAAAAAUCAAAAUCAAAAUAAAAAUAAAAAGGAAGAAAGGAAUGAUUUUUCUUGUGCAGGAAAAAUUGAUACUUUCAACUUUUCCCAAAAAAUUUUUUGAAAUUUAUUUUUAAGGAAAAUUGAUACUUUCAACUUUUCCCCAAAGAUGUUUCUUUUUUUGGAAAUUUUGAUUUUCAAGGAAAAUUGAUACUUUCAACUUUUCCUCAAAAAUAUUUUUUUUUGAAACUUUGAUUAGGAAAAUUGAUACUUUCAACUUUUCCCAAAAAUAUUUUUUUUUUGAAACUUUGAUUUCCAAGGAAAAUUGAUACUUUCAACUUUUCCUAAAAAAUCUUUUUUUUUCAAAAAUUUAUUUUUAAGGAAAAUUGAUACUUUCAACUUUUCUCCAAAAAUAUUUUUUUUUGGAAUUUUUUAUUUUUGUUUAAAGAAAAUAGAAUAAUAAAAAAGAUAAAUAAAAAUAAAAAUAAAGAAAAGUAGAACAAAAAUAAAAAUAAAAUAAAGAUAAAAAGAAUAUUAAAUAAAUCUAAUCUAAUAAAAAAAUAAAUAAAUUAAUUAAAAAAAAAACUUGGAGCGGCUCGACUAUCGGCUCGGCUCGGCUCAAGGCAGGGAAACGGCUCGGGGAGCGGCUUGGCGGCUUGGCUCGGCUCAGCUUGGCUUGGCUCGGAGGGGGGUAGGCACGCGCGGGUCAGAAGCGGGUCGGGUCGGGUUUCGGCAAAACGCGCGGAUCCUCUGGUUACUUAAGGCCAAAACGACGUCGUUUUAAGCGGGUAUAAAAGGCACUUUCCUCUAUUUUUUGGUAGAACCCUUCUCCUCUCUCUCUCUUCUUCCUUUUUCUUCUCCCUUCUCUCUAAAAACUGAAGAACACCGGUGAAAUUUUCACCGGAUUCUGGAAAAAGUCACCGAAAUCUGAAAAUUUUUACCGAAAGUUGGUCGGAAGAUCACCGGUUUCUGGGAUUAUUCGUCGAAAACUGGGUUGGUCGCCGGAAACUUCAAGUUGGCCGGAAUUUUCGUCGGAAAAUUCAAACGUCGUCGAAAUUUUCGCCAGAAUCAAAAUUUCCCAAAAAUUUCCAGAAAAAUUUUUCGCCAAAAAUUUCUAAAAAAUUAUUUUCGAUCCCUACAGCUAUCCUAACUCUUCUCAACCUUUUUUAGCCUUCGAAAACUCUUCUAUACACCUCUUUUCUCUCAAAUUCAGUAGCUUUGCUCACUGUUUUCUUUGUGUUCCUCAUCUGUUCCAGGAGGGUGCCUUUUAUAGGGGUUGAUCAGGAGUUCCUGAUCAAUCCCAAUUUCUUCUUGGACGGAGAUUCAAUCUUUGAAUCCAAUUGGACUCUUUUGAUUGAAUCCCCACUCCUAGUAGGAUUCUUCAGCUUCAAUCUUAACCUUCCAAAAUAAAAAUCAAAUAAAUAUAAAAAAUAAUAGAUAAUUAGAACAGUUAAAUAAAAAAAAUAGAUAUAUUAUAGGAUAAAUAAUAAUAAAAAUAACAGAUAUAUAAUUAGAUAAAUAAAAAUACAAAAAUAAAUAAAAUAUAAAAAUUAUAAUAAUAAUAAUAAUAAAAAAUAUAUAACUAUAUAAAUAAUAUACAUAUAAAUCUAUUCUAAAUAAAAAAUAAAUAAAUAUAGAUAUACAUAUAUUAAUAAUAAUAAAUAUAAAAAUACAUAAAAUACAAAAGAAAAGGAAAAAAGAAAAAAAAAUAAUACAAGAUUGAAUUGGGCUUUACCCAUUUGGGCCAGGCCCAAUUGAUCUGGGCCUGGACCCAAUUGGGUGUCUACAGCUGUCCCUCUUUGCAUAUUUUCUGUGAAACAGAAAUUGCGCAAAGACGUAGACACCCAAUCAAGACUCAACUCAACAUUGUCAUUUUUUUUGUUUUUUUGUGUUUUUUGUGUUUUUUUGUUUUUUUGGUUUUGUUUUUUGUGUUUUGUUUUUUUUUUUUUUUUUGUUUUUUUUUUUUUUGUUUUUUUGUUUUGUUUUAUUUUUUUUUUACCAAAGCUCUUCUAAACAGAGGCUCAACGACUUUGAGAAACAUAAAUUGCUCCUCUAAACAGAGGGACCACGACUUGGAAAAGUAAAUUGCUCCUCUAAACAGAGGGACCACGACUUUGUAUUGGAAAGUAAAUUGCUCCUCUAAACAGAGGCACCGCGACUUUGAAAAAUAAAUUGCUCCUCUAAACAGAGGCACCACGACUUUGAAAAGUAAAUUGCUCCUCUAAACAGAGGCACCACGACUUUGAAAAGUAAAUUGCUCCUCUAAACAGAGGCCACGACUUUGGAAAAUAAAUUGCUCCUCUAAACAGAGGCACCACGACUUUGAAAAAGUAAAUUGCUCCUCUAAACAGAGGCACCACGACUUUGGAAAAGUAAAUUGCUCCUCUAAAUAGAGGCACCACGACUUUGGGAAAAUAAAUUACUCCUUGACAAUCAUGUCCAAAGGAGUUGAAAAUUGUGUUUGAAGGAAUUUCAGGGGAUUAUGCCCAAAGGUCUUAUAAAUCAACCCUGAUACCAAAAGACAUCCUAUUUCAAGGAUUAAGAACUUACCUGACAAGUUUCUUCUCAAACUUGUAAAAUAUCUUUAUAUCUGUCUUUCCAUGUGGGAUGUUGGAACACCCUUGCUUCUUGGAUUUAUACACUAUACUUUCUUGAAAGUAGUGUAUGCUAUGCAAAUGUACAUGAAUUUCAAUGCAUGCUAUGCAAAUGUUGGCCAAUUAAUUCCUGUUCAAUGUAUGGUACUCAAGUUUCUCAAGCUCUUUUAUUAGGCAUCAAGCCCUUUGAUACUUCAGAGAUCCAAUUACACUACUCUUCUAAGAUCGAACUAGUGUAGCUCUCAAUUGUCUUUUCCACUCACAUUCUUCUUUGUUCAGUCUCUCGAUACUUUGGAAUAAGCUUCAUCAAUCGGUCAUCACUUGACCAUCAUUCAAUGAAUUUUUCAGCACUAACAAGUUUCAUCCACCAUCACUGGGUCAUUACUCAUAGGUGUCUCAGCAUUAACCAUUCUAAAACAAUUCUGUCCACUGAUUGUCUUCAUCAUUCAAUCAUAACUUGCAAGUCAUAUAGAUCAAUUCAUCACUUUUCAAGAUUUGCCCCAUUAUAUUCUUCAUUUGAUCACAUCAUAUAUCCUUCCAAAUCAUCUCUUUUAGGUCUCUACCAUUUUGUCACCACCAUCAUCUUAGAUUUCUUUUCAAAUGAAUACAAGACUCUUUUAACCACAUAUUCAUUCAUUCAUUAUCAUUUCAAAUCUUGACAAGUACAAUGCAAUCAAGCAUUUUCUCAAUUCAUUCUAAGGGUGUAACAAUAAGAAAACAGAAGGCGAACUAUGGCAAAGAUAAUAAAUGAAGAUCUAUUUUGGUACAGAAUAAAUGGGAAAAAAAUGUCAUUGGGAUGGAUGGUAUGUCCAAAUGAUGAAUAUUCAAACAAUUCUUAAUAUUAAUCUAGGAUUCUUUUUCAAAAACUCAUUUCAUUUAUUGUUGAAGUCAAUUUGAGCUUGACGAACUUUGCCCCAGUCUUUGAGAGAUCUUCAGAUGUCUUUGAUCUUUCAUUGAUGUGAGCCAUUUGACCUGGAUCCCUUUUUUUUUUUUUACCAAAAUCACCCUUUCAGGUUUUCAAUUUGAAUCUCUUUUUUUCAUUUUCUCAUUUUUUUUCUUUUUUUUUUCAUCAUCUUUUUUUCAUUUUUCAUCCAUUGUUGAUAUCUUUCAUGUAGCAUGAUUUCCUUGCUUCAUCAUGAGCAUGUCUUUGCUCAACAUAUGACCAUUCAAGUUGGGUAUUCACACUUGAUCCAAAUGGACUUUUCAAGCUUGUAACGUAGGCCAAGGUGAAGGGUCAUAAAAAAAAUGGAUAUAAUAGGCUUAAAACAUGUAUUAAAAAGGUUCAAAACCAAAGGAUCAUUCGAUACAACUUGGCAUUUUGCCCACAUCGUUUCACUACUUUUUUUUUCCUCACACAAAGGAUUCUCGUUACUUUACCCCAAGUAAUGUGUGGCAUUUAUUUUUCUUUUGCUUUUCUUUCUCUUUCCAUUUUUGAGACCUUUUGUGGUAUUUUUUUUCUUUUUUUUUUCAAAAUUUACCCUCAAGUGUAGAGGGUGAUCCUUGGUUGGGGUUCUUAAAAAAAAAAUGAUAAGCUCAAAGGGGUAAUAAUAAAUGGUUUUUCAAAUGGUAAAAGAAAAAUGGCCAUUUUUCAUCUCAAUUGUGAAUACCUUUUUUGAACAUCAUCUAUUGAACAAAGCUCAUGAACUUGUAUAAAAGAUUGCACACCUUCAAGAUAUAUCUAUUUCACCUUCAGUAACAGCUUACUUUUUGCUCAAAUCAUCUCCUUACAUUAAGUGGAUGAGUUCUCAAAAUUAAAUCCCAGAAUUAUUGUUAUCAUUGUCUAAAUAUUCAUCAUCUGAAAUUUAAGAAUGAGAAUGUGAAGUUAUGGAAGGUAACAGGGCAUGGAAUAAUGGUCAAGUGAAAGAGAAAAAUGUAAUGAAAUGCAUUGACUUGCCUUUAUUAAAAUGAUAACAAGCGAAGUCACAUUGCAAAAAGAAAUCCAACAAUCACUCAAAAAAAAAUCCUAAGAAACAUUCAACCAGCCUUAUCUUCAUUUUUUAAAAUUGUCCCCCUAUGGGAUCAGGUGAAGAAUCUCUAUUGACAUCUUGCCCCUCAAUUCAUUGUGAUUCUUCGGACCCUUUCUGUUUUUAACUUUCACUCAGAGCGCUAACAUUAGAUGUUGUUGCUUUUUCUUGAUCAAAACUUACCAUUCCAUCAUUGAUCAACCGUUGCACCUUAUACUUUAAAGCAGUGCAAUUUUCAGUAGAAUGGCCAGUAAUUUCAUAGUGAUAGUCGUAGUGGGCUGUAGGAUCAUACCACUUUGGGUAGGGUGGUUUAAGUGGCUCCACAUGGCUGGGGGCAAUUAAGUGGCUAUUAUAGAGUUCUCGAUAUAACUCUGUAUAAGUCAUAGGGAUUGGAUCAAAUACAUGCUUUUCUCGAGUAGUUCGUUGUUCUCGUGAACCACUUGCUGGGUUAAUAGGGCGAACUUGAGUUCUUGCAGGAGCUUGAAUGUUGAGGCUGUAUGUAAGAUCUUGGGGGCUAAAAAUUGAUUGGUGCGUGGAUGAAUAAGGUGGUUGUGGAGCUAGCUGGUAUGGGUAGGAUAAGGCAUUGUUCACAGUAAAAUCGUAUGGAGAGUAACCUUGGGAUGGAUAGGGUUGAUAACCCCUGAAUUGUUGUCUAUCAAAGCUCACAGCUUGAGCUUCAGCUUCUUUCUUUUCUGAUGUCUUCUUGGUUUCUCCUCCUUUCAACUUACCAUUUUUUAUGGCACUUUCAAUAAUUUCUCCAGAGAUUACCAUGUCAGCAAAAUUCUUUGUUGCAUUUCCUAUCAUCUUUUCAUAAUAGGGAGGUUUCAAAGUGCUAACAAAUAAUAUAGUAGUCUUUUUUUCUGUCAAUGGAGGUUGUACCUGUGAAGUUAUAUCUCUCCAUCUCUGGGCAUACUCUUUAAAAGACUCGUUUGACUUUUUCUUCAGAUUCUGCAAAGACAAACGAUCUGGGGCCAAAUCGAUAAUAUGUCGAUACUGACCGAUGAAGUAAUGUGCCAUAUCGCUCUAAGAGCGAAUGCGAGUCCUAUCCAGCUGAACAUACCACCUGGCAGCAGAACCAGUAAGGCUAUCCUGGAAGACAUGCAUCAAGAGUUUUUCAUCAUGUGCAUGAGCUGCCAUCUUUCUGCAAUACAUGGUGAUGUGGGUUUUGGGGCACUUUGUACCGUCAUAUUUUUCAAACUUCGGUACUUUGAACUUAUGAGGGAUAACCACAUCAGGAACUAGGCAGAGCCCAGCAGCAUCAACUGACCCAUAAAAGCUAAAUCCUUCCACAGCCCUAGCCUCUGCUCUAGCAUGCUAAUUUUGGAGCUUUCCUGAACUUCCACUCUUAUCUUUUCUUUUUCUUCUCUUUUAAAUCAUUUAGAUCAGGAACUGGUUCUACUAUUUUUUCAGUGAAUACAGAAUUUAUAUAUCUAUUAUACUGCCCUGGGUUGAAAGCUGAUGGCAUUCCAGGAUAGGCAAAAUGUUGUGGCGGGACCUCUUGGGUAGACUGGGCUUGAGGUGGGCCAAAACUUGGAGGGUACAAAGGGUCAACCAUUUCUUGCUGGCUUGUACUUCCUUCAACUUCUUUUCCUUUAUUCAUGUUAUUAAGGGCCUCCAGAAUCUUGCUUAGUUCACUUUCAAUCUUUUCAUGAGUUUUUUCUAGCUUUUCAAAUCUAUGAGAACUUUUCUCUUCCAUUUGCCUUGCUCUGGAUCUUGUGUUGUAUGGAUGAGUAGGGUUUUCGCUAGAUGGAGCUAUCCUCGGAUCUUGAGUACCAUACUUAUGAUUAGAAAUAUUAUGCUGUGCCUUAUGUAUGAUGCUUUGAUACACAAAUGAAAUGUAUAUUUUUUGAAUGAAAUCUAGUAUGAAAUGAAUGCAAAUGAUUGUGUUGAAACAUGAUCAUGAAAAGAAUACAGAUGCAUACAAUCAGACAAAUAACAUAGUUAGUUUCGUGGAUGAAACGUAAGUGAUGCUGAUGCAUAAUGUUACAUAUGAUAAAAAUAAUACACAAAGUUAAGUAAUCAAAAUGAUUAGAUAAACACCCUUUUUGUGUCCUAAUUUUAGGGUAUAUCUAUCAUUGGGUAGAAAGAGCUCUAUCCUAGGUGUAGGCAUUCUUAAAGUUCACUACAUGUGGUUUUAAGGUCAGAGUCUAAAGGUCCUCAAAUUGCUCCUUACAUCCUGUCCAUUACAGACUAGUACGGCACCCUAAUCCUCACCCAUUACAGGCUACAAGCGAAAAAGGUUCAAUUUGAGUGGGAGUAUUUCGCUAGCCACUGCGGAGGCAUUAGACCUCACGAAAACAAUAGGUACUUUACUCCCUCCUAGAAGGAUGGAGCUCGGGUGUAGAGCUCAUGUUAUGCACAUGCACAUGAAUGACAUAAUUAACAAAGUAAAUAAAACAUGAAUGAAUAACAACACAUAUAUACAACAAGGUUCAAUUUCAUUUGGCUUUUGGAUAACACAAAUUAUUUGCUGGCCUGACUCUCAAGGUCCCCAACGGAGUCGUCAAGCUGUUAUAACGUUUAGAUCCGGGGAUCUAUCGCUAGACAUUGACUUAAAGGAGUCGCCACCAAUCUUUUUUAUCUAGGUGUGAUUGACCACCUAAAGAAUCUGUCCUUUCAAGAAACACCUAAGUUUAAGGGUCCCUAAAAGAAUAGGUUCAGGUUUACUAACCAAAAUAGGGUUCGAGAGUUUGGUUACGUGUGAGGAAGGUUAUAGCACCCUCACAACGCCCAUCAAAAGAUGGUGCCAGCUUAAAUUUGUGUUAUCCAAUGAGCCUUAAAAUUUUACCACGUAAUUAAUUAUUGGAAAUUAUUCUCAAUUGACUCUAAUACUUUUAGCAAAAAAUUGAGAAAAUCCCUUCACCUUAAGAGUAUGCAAGAAAAACUACUGUUUCACUUGCAGAGGCUCCGUUGUCGGAUUAUUUAAAGAAAAAUCAAAAUCAAAAUAAAAAUAAAAAGGAAGAAAGGAAUGAUUUUUCUUGUGCAGGGGAAAUUGAUACUUUCAACUUUUCUCAAAAAAUUUUUUGAAAUUUAUUUUUAAGGAAAAUUGAUACUUUCAACUUUUCCUAAAAAAUCUUUUUUUUGAAAAUUUAUUUUUAAGGAAAAUUGAUACUUUCAGCUUUUCCCCAAAAAUAUUUUUUGAAAAUUUAUUUCUAAGGAAAAUUGAUACUUUCAACUUUUCCUCAAAAAUAUAUUUUUUUUGAAACUUUGAUUUCCAAGGAAAAUUGAUACUUUCAACUUUUCCUAAAAAAUCUUUUUUUUUCAAAAAUUUAUUUUUAAGAAAAAUUGAUACUUUCAACUUUUCCCCAAAAAUAUUUUUUUUUUUGGAAUUUUUUAUUUUUAUUUAAAGAAAAUAGAAUAAUAAAAAGAUAAAUAAAAAUAAAAAUAAAGAAAAGUAGAACAAAAAUAAAAAUAAAAUAAAGAUAAAAAGAAUAUUAAAUAAAUCUAAUCUAAUAAAAAUAAAUAAAUAAAUAAAUUAAAAAAAAAACCUGGAGCGGCUCGGCUAUCGGCUCGGCUCAAGGCAGGGAAACGGCUCGGGGGGAGCGGCUUGGCGGCUUGGCUCGGCUCGGCUUGGCUUGGAAGGGGGCAGGCACGCGCGGGUCAGAAGCGGGUCGACGCUCGGGUCGGGUCAGGUUUCGACAAAACGCGCGGAUCCUCUGGUUAUUUAAGGCCAAAACGACGUCAUUUUAAGCGGGUAUAAAAGGCACUUUCCUCUGUUUUUCGGUAGAACCCUUCUCCUCUCUCUCUCUCUUCUUCCUUUUUCCUCUCCCUUCUCUCUAAAAACUGAAGAACACCGGUGGAAUUUUCACCGGAUUCUGGAAAAAGUCAUCGAAAUCUAGAAAUUUUUACCGGAAGUUGGCCGGAAGAUCAUCGGUUUCUGGGAUUAUUCGUCGAAAACUGGGUUGGUCGCCGAAAACUUCAAGUUGGCCGGAAUUUUCACCGAAAAAUUCAAACUUCGCCGGAAUUUUCGUCGGAAUCUGGAAAUUUCCCAGAAUUUUCCAAAAAAAUUUUUUGCCAAAAAUUUCUAAAAAAUUAUUUUCGAUCCCUACAGCUAUCCUAACUCUUCUCAACCUUCUUUAGCCUUCGAAAACUCUUCUAUACACCUCUUUUCUCUUAAAUUUAGUAGCUUUGCUCACUGUUUUCUUUGUGUUCCUCAUCUGUUCCAGGAGGGUGCCUUUUAUAGGGGUUGAUCAGGAGUUCCUGAUCAAUCCCAAUUCCUCAUUGGACGGGGAUUCAAUCUUUGAAUCCAAUUGGACUCUUUUGAUUGAAUCCCCACUCCUAGUAGGAUUUUUCAGCUUCAAUCUCAACCUUCCAAAAUAAAAAUCAAAUAAAUAUAAAAAAUAAUAGAUAAUUAAACAGAUAAAUCGAAAAAAAAACAGAUAUAUUAUAGGAUAAAUAAUAAAAAAAAUAACAGAUAUAUAAUUAGAUAAAUAAAAAUACAAAAAUAAAUAAAAAUAAAAAAAAUAAAAAAAAUAAAUAUAUAACUAUAUAAAUAAUAUACAUAUAAAUCUAUUCUAAAUAAAAAAUAAAUAAAUACAGAUAUACAUAUAUUAAUAAUAAUAAAUAUAAAAAUACAUAAAAUACAAAAGAAAAUAAAAAAAGAAAAAAAAUAAUACAAGAUUGAAUUGGGCUUUACCCAUUUGGGCCAGGCCCAAUUGAUCUGGGCCUGGACCCAAUUGGGUGUCUACAAAUAUAAUAGUCAAAGCAUAAUAACUUAAUAAUAAAUCAAUUAUAACGUAAUUGUAAAUGCAAAAUAACGUAGUUGUAAAUUAAUAAUAAUUUCAUAAAAAAAGAUAACUUAAUAGUUAAUCAUUGAUAAUUUAGUAGUAAAUUAAUAAAAAUUUAGUAGUAAAUUAGUGAUAGCAUAAUAGUAAAUUUAUUUUAGUUUAAUAGUAAUUAAAUUAUAAAUUUAAUAGUAAAUCAUAAAUAACUUAACGAUAAAUCAAUGAUAAUUUAAUAGCUAAUCACUAAAACUCAGUAGUAAAUCAAUAAUAACCAAGUAGCAAAUGUAUAACAGUAUAGUAGUAAAUCGCUAAUAAUUUAAUAGUGAAUUAUUGAUAAUUUAGUAUUAAAUCACUAAUAACGUAAUAGUAAAUCAUUGAUAAUUUAUUUAUAAAUUAAAAAAAUUUAGUUAUAAAUUAGUUAAUUAUUAAUAAUUUUAUAGUAAAUCAUCAAUAACUUUAUAGUAAAUUAGAAAUAACAUUAUAAUAAAUUAUUAAUAACUUAAUAGUAAAUUAUCAAUAACUUAAUAAUAAAUCAUUUAUAACUUAGUAGUAAAUCAUUUUAUAACUUAGUGAUAAAUCAUGAUAAUUUAGUAGUAAAUCGAUGAUAAAGUAGUAGUAAGUGAGUUGUAACUUAUUUGUUAAUUAUUGAUAACAUGUUUUUUAUACUUAAAGUUACUAAUGAUUAAACCUUGGUUACUAGAAAGAGAAAAGGAUUAGGAUAAACCUAACAUGAACUUUUUCAUUAAAAAAAUAUAGUAAAAAAAUUAUAAAUUUGAAUGAAACAAUAAUGUUAUAUUAUAUAAAAAAAAAAUUAUCUCAUAUAUUGUAAUUAAUUGAUAAAAUUAAUAGUAUAUCAUAAAUAACUUAGUAAUAAUUCAAUGAUAAUUUAGUAGUAAAUAAUUGAUAAUUUAAUAGCUAACUAUUGAAAACUUAUUAAUAAAUCAAUGGUAAUUAGUAAAUGCAUAAUAAUAUAAUAGUAAAUCACUAAAUUUAGCAGUAAAUCACUAAUAACGUAGUAAUAAGUCACUUAUAACUUAGUUAUCUAUCAAUGAUAAUUUUGUAGUAAAUCAUUGAUAACUUCACAGUAAAUUAGUUAUAACUUUAUAAUAAAUUAUUAAUAACUUAGUACUAAAUCAUCAAUAACUUAAUAGUAAAUCAUUCAUAACUUAAUAGUAAAUCAUUAAUAAUUUAAUAAUAAAUCACUGAUAAUAUAGUAAUAAAUUAGUAAUAACUCAAUUGUCAAUCAAUAAUAAGUUUUUUUAUAUUUGAAGUUUUUAGGGAUUGAACUCCAAUUACCAUCAAGAGUGAAGUAAAAAUUUAGUAAUAAAUCAAUUAUAAUAAUAAAUUAGAGUUAACUUAGUCAUAAUUUAUUUAUAAUUAAAUGCUAAAUCACUUAUCAUUUAUUGUAAAUCAGUGAUAAUAAUAAAUCAAUGAUAACUUAUUAGUAAAUUAGUUUUAGCUUAAUAGUAAAAUCUGGAUAACUUAAUAGUAAAUUAUUCAUAUUUUGAUAAUAAAUUAGUGAUAUAACUUAGUAGCAAAUUAUUGAUAACAUAUAGUAGUAAAUCAUUACUAACUUAAUAUUUUUUUUUUGGUUAAAUAUUGAUAUAGGGCUAUAUUUUUUAAUAUGUCUAACAUAUUUAAUUCAUUUAAAAAUUAUAUUAAUUGCCAUUUAAUACUAAGGUAUCUAGUUACAAUAUUUGUGGAUAUUGUAUACAUAUAUAAAUGAUUAAAACAAUAUUCAUGUACCAAUUACUAUAACAACAUAUUUUUAUUAAAACAAAUCAAAUUUUGCAAUGAAAAUUUCCAAUAACUUUAUUUGUAUUUGCAUGUCCUUGAUUGUCUAUUUGAUAAUAUAUUAAUAGUAACUACAUUAAUGCUAUAUCUUUACUAAAAUAAAUUGUUGCGUUUUAUAGUAUCAUUUAUAACAUUGAUAGCAAUUAUACAAAAAAAUUUUGUCUUCAAAGAUAUUUUUAAAAUGAAAGAGAAAAAUAAUGAGUCUAAAUUUAUUGGAAAACACCAUAGAAAAAUUACCUAUUAGUUAUUUUCUUAGGUACAUAAUAUUUUAAAUUAAAAUAUAUGAUCUAAUAAUACUAAUAAUAGUAUGAAUUCUAUAAAUUAUAAUUUUCUAGCAAUAUUGUUUAAAUAAUGAAUUUUUUGUAUGACUUAUACUUGAUAUAUAAUUAAGUGUUCAUCGAAAUUACUUCAUUUUAAUUCAAAAAGAGUUCAAAUAUUAAAAAUAUAUUCAUUAUCAACUUUAAAGUCUAAGAUUUAAAACAUAGUUUACCUUCCAAAUAUAUUUUUUUGAUAUUUAUCUAAAAAAGAUAAUAUCUUAUUAAUUUUUAAAAUUAUGAUAUUUUAUUAUUUAACAAACAAUAAUAAUAUUGAACGAAAGUUAAUUGAAAAAAGUAUUUGAAUAUUUAAAGAACAACAUAAAAAACUAUUUGAUUAGGAUAAGGUAUACCUUUAAGUAAAGUUUUAUUUAAACACUUAGUAUAACAUAUUUUAGUAACUUAUGUAUAUUUAAUUGCUUUUUAAGAAAUCAGUAUCGAUACUAAAAGUAGUUUUAGUCAAUAUCCCAUAUAAAUACAUAAAUAAACAUAAUUGAUUAUUACAUCAAGAUACUAAUAGUUUUUUUAUUACUUCACAUCCUUUUUUUAGAAUAUGUUUACAAAUUAAUAUUUUUAAUUAGUAAAAUUCAUGUUAUGCAUUUUUUACUAUAAAAUGAAAUUACAAAAUGAUUUAUAUAACAUAAAUAAGUACAUGUUAAAAAUAGAAGUUAGUAAUGAAAACAAAUUAUAUAUUUACUUUAUUUCAAGUAACAAAAACUUUAUAACAAUUUGGUUUCAAAUCAAAAUAACAAAUUUAAAUUUUCAAUGGCAAAUAGAUGAAAAGUAAUAAUUUGAAUGAGUUUGGCAAUGAUCAAUUGCCUAAAAAAUUUAUAAAAUUGAAGAUAAAAAUCCACCACUAAAAAAGUUUAAAAAAGCUCUAGAAAAAACAUAAAAUAGAGAAGAAGGAAAGUACAAAAUUCGAUUUGAUUAUGAUAAAAAACAAUCUUUUAUAGUUGAAAAAACUAAUAUAUAUAUAUAUAUAUAUAUAUAUAUAUAUAUACAUAUAAGAAUGAAGAUGAUGACUUAACACUAAAAGACUUAAAAGAACACUUCUAAAAAGAAUCAAAACAAAGAAACAUUAAAUAUUUAUUUUUUAUUGGAAUUUUAAUUUUACUUUUUUGUUAUAGUUAUUUUUUAAAACUUAAAUUUACAUUUUUAAUUUAAUUUAGUAUGAUAAUAAUUAUUUCAAUUUAAUUAUUAUAAAAUAUCAAAAUUAUUAUAUUAUAUUAUAUUAUAAUUAUAAUUUGGUUAACAAUCACGUGCACGGCAUGUGGAAUAAAACUAGUAAUUAAUAAAGACAAAUAUGAUUGCAAAAUUAUUGGAUAUUUUCAUUUUUUUAUUUUAUUUCUUGUACAUUUUGAAAGAAAAUGUAGAUAUAUAAUAUGGACUAAGUGCUAUGAAUUAAUGUUAAAUAGUUUGGUUUCCCUUUUUUUCCUCCUAAUAACUUUAAACUUUAACGUGAUACUAUUAUAACUGUAUGUAGAAAAGCUUAAUUAUAAUUAAUAAAAUUUUACCGGUAAUAAUAGUAUUCAUCAUUCUAAUAUAAAUAAGUUCAAUUUAUUAUAUAUAGUCAAAAUUAGUGUUAUGAUAAUGUUACGACAAGAUUUCGUGAUUAUAUAUUUUAACGGACCAUAAUUUCGUUAUGAACUAAGAUUUAAUUUAAUUAAUUUAUAUAGUUACUUUUAAAAGAUGAUAUCUAAUAUGUUUAAAAUUUAAAUAUCAAUAUUUGUAAUCUCUUUUAAUAUCUCCAAACUAGAACCUCCUGUAUAAAUAAAAUCGUUUGAUCAUUUCAACAUCUCAGGGGACAAUUUAUUAGUGUCACUUUGGCAUUCGGUAAAAUCAGAAUAUCUAUGAGCUUAGUACUCCGGUAGUUGAGGAUAACUAGACUGUUAUCUUUGGAAGCAAAAGCGACAAACAAACAAAAUUAAGAAAAAAUAUUAUAGGAAUAACCGAUCUCGAGUCGAUAACAAGAAUAUCUUUCGAAACAAUAAAAUAAAAAACAUAUUGUUCAAGUUAAUUCUAGAUUCUUAGAUAAAAACUACUCACAUGGAUCCAAAUUUCGAGCAAAUCCGACCAAAAAAUUUUUCACCUAAAUAACCUAGAAAGAAAACAAUAAUUUUUCUUAGAAGCAACUAAGAGAAUCAAAUUACAUUGAUAGAUUCAGAUGCUGAUUUCGAUUCGUUAUAGUAUUAUUAGUUGUUUUAGACCUAAAGAUAACGACCAAGAUGUUGGUUUUUUAACUCUUGUUUCUUUCAUCCCAAAUCUUGAAUUAAAAUUGCUGCAUUUCCAAGAAUACCUUACUUAAAAAAAAAAAAAAAAACCAACAUCUUGACGUUUAUUCAAAUUUAGGUCGGCGAUCUUGACGAGAAAAUGUACAUUUUCCCAUAAGCCAAAUGACGGAACUCUUAGCACGAUGUUUGGCGUAGUUAUCAAUUAUCACGGAAGCAUGAUUCCAUGCUACAGUUUCUUGUACAGUUGUAAGAUUAAUACAAUGUUGUCCAUUUAAAUUUUUUUUUAUAUAUAAAAGAAGUGGUAAUUUAAGGAUAGAAAAAUGGAGUAUAGAUGUUGAAAUUUUAAUUUUAAAUUUACUGAAUGUAAUUUUUUUAAAGGUGAUUUAUAUGACUUGAUUGGAUUAAAUCUUAAAUCUCAAACUGUUUGUUUUUAAAUAUAUAAUCUUUUUUAUAUUAAUUUUGAAGGGUGAUUAUAAUUUUCAUACUUUAAAUAUCAUAUUCAAUGAUAUUUGCAACGAUACUAUAUCUAAAGAGUAGUCACUAAUAGUUACAUGUUAAUUGGUAUCGAAAUCAAGAUUGGAUGUCUCAAUUAGAAAAAGUAUAAAUCAAUCAACAUGGACGGACUUAACUUUAUGUUACCGUGAAACUUAGAAAAUUAACUCGCAUAAAUGGUCCCACUUAAAGCAGUCUAUCUAUGUACAUGAUAGAAGACCUAACUUUGAUCAUCUUGUUGUGGGGUUUAAUUUUUUUCUUAAAAAAAAAAAAGCUUUUGCUGAAAAAAGUUACAAUUAGUCAACAUUAAAAUGUAUAUCUUUCUUUUUCAUUUGACUCGAUUCGUUAUUUUGCCUCUCGUUCAUGUAUCUUUCUUCAUGUCACUAUGUGGCAUGAUUUAUACUUCCACAGUUUCAAUUGUCGGUAAAGUUAUGAAUGAUUUAAUUUUCAUGUCAAGAUGUUAAUUACAAUUAUUAGUCUCUCUAUUGACAUCAGAUCUAAAAUAACAUAAAUCCAAUUCAUCAAUAUUGAAUUUUUUUUAUUACAUAAUAAGAGGUUAAAUGGUACACAUGAUUUUAGAGUACCUGAUGAAAAUUGGUUAUCUUUCAUUUUAUAAAUCUCAUGAUGAUAAAAUGAUAUAUUAUAUUGUUAUAGUUAGAAUUAGAUUUGUUCGUGAGUUGAAUUAUUAGACUUAGGGUUAAUUAAACAUUGUAGCCGUGGUUGAAAAAAAUUGAGUUAGAAUAAAUACGUCUAAAAACUGUAAUUAAAAAUUUUAAGUGUUUAUUAUUGAUGUAAAAAAAAUAUUGUGAGUAAUUGAAAUGUCUAAAAUGAUAUGUAUAAAAUAAUAAAAUAUUAUAAAUAUAGGAUAAUGUAAUGAUCUUGAGUAUCGUUUUAGUUUGGGUUGCAAAACUGUACUUUGAAAUUGUAAAACAAUAUUUUUUUUAUUGUUUAGUAUUGAGGUUGGAUCAAAAAUAAUUUUUAAAUGCAAAAAUUACUUUCAAUAACAAUACUAAAUUAGGCCUUAGACAAGUCUUGGAUUGGAAUUUUCAUGUUUAUGUUAGACUUGAAACGUUAUUUUAUUAGUAUAAUUGAGAAAAAUUGGAGAUCUUUCAAUGAGAAAAUGGGUUCUUUGUUUGAGGUAUUAGAUGCUCUUUAAGGUUGUAACUCAUAUAAAAUUCUUCGUAGGACCAAAGGCUUAACAAAUCAAGGAUAACUAUGGACUCAUUUAGGCCCAAAAACGAUAUUAAUUGCAUGAAAUCUCUCCAUAACUAAAAUAGAGGAAAGAAUUUGAAUCCUAAAUCUCCAGUUUUUAUUAGAAUUAAAAUAAGUCAAAUGUGAAGUUUUCUUUUCUGCUUUUGACACACAAAUCUGAUUUUUUUUUCUGUUUAAUUAAUUUUCAAGACUAUUUUCAGGUUUAUAUAUUGGUUAAGGACACGCAGGAGACUUAUCUUAUUUACUAUUAUGAAGAAAAGUAAAAGAAAAUCUAAAAAUUAAUAAUUUUUAUGCAGCAAAUUGAAACAAGAAAAAGGGUCCAAAGCCAGUCAGAAUGUUUCCUAACUCUCCAAGGUGUUUCAGGAAUGAUUUGUGAAAAUCUUUCUUGUUCAUGCUGAUCUUGAACGCAACCAUGGUCUCACUCAAAAAAGAAAUAAAAAUUAAUUGGUUCAAAAUCUAACAUCAAGAAAUUUUAUGGAGUAGCCAAAAAGUAAUGGGGACGGCCAAAAUUUUGUGACACUUUCUGAAGAUCGGUUGAAAUUUUUCCUUUUGUGUAGCCAAAAAAGAAGAUAAAAAAUGGCAGCUUUUGUUGAAAAAAAAAUUAAAGGAAAUCUUUGAGGGUAUAUAUAUAUAUAUAAAGAAUUAAAGUAAUCCUUCUCGUAUUCCUUGUACAUGUUGAGUGAUUAAUUGUUGGAUCAUACUCGUCAACCUACUGCUGAGGGUGUAAUUUAUUUAAUUGUUGCACUUUUGCUAACAAAUACAGUUGGCUAUGCAAAAUACGGCCUUUCUAGGAGCUCCAUAACUCAUUCAAUUUCCCAUUUUCUGCCUUGCCUUGCUUGCCAUGGCGAAAGAAUUUGAUUAGCUAUCUUUUCAAAUGAAUUUCUUCGCUUCGAAAAGCUAAUUCAAAUUUCGUUUCCUUCGAUAAAGAUGGUAAUGUCUAUCUGCUAGUGUGGUUUGUUCUUCUGUUUUCAUUUUGGGGUUGCUAGCUAUUGCUAGAUUCAUUUCCUUCUAGUUGCUUAAAUAAAUUUGGCUUAGGAAGAAAAAAAAAAAGGUGGCAAUGGUAUGGAUUAAGUUUGGAUUUAAUUAUUCAGACUAAAUCAUUUCAUGAAGAAACUUCGGGUCGUUUUGGAUUGAAAUUUAAAUGAUGAGUUUUAAAAUAAAUUUAAUUUAAUUUAAUUUAAAAUCAUUUGGAUUAUUUUUUUGAAUUAUUUGAGAUUUUUAUCCUUUCAUAUUUGAUUAUUUCAGAUUUAGAUCAAAUUGAAUAUAAAUUAUGAACAAAACUUAUAUAAAAUUUUAUAGGUGAAGUUUAUGAAAUUUUUUAUUACAAAUGAGUAAAUAAAAACUUUAAUAAAAAAUCCAAGUUAAUAGAUUAAUAGAGUUCAACAUAAAGAUCAAUAAUAUUUAAAAAAAAUUUAAAAAUAUUAUUUGUAACUCAAAUUUGAUAUAUAUUUAUUCAAUGAUAAAAAUUCUUUUAAUUUUUUUACUAAAAAUAUCUAUUUAAUAAAUUAUUAAAAUUUAUUAAUUUUUUAAAAAAUUUUGUAUUUUGAUCUAUGUAAUGAGAUAUUUAAAUUUAUUAAUUUAAAAUUUUAAUUUUAGUUUUUAUUUAUUCAUUUUUAAUUAAAAAACUUUACAAACUUCACCUAUUGAACUUCAUGUAACUAUUUUUCAUAAUUAUUGACUUUUUUUAAUCAAAUCGAACUAAUGGAUUCUAAGGAUUCGAAUCUAAUUAAAAUUUUUAUUAUUCAAUAUAACAUUUCUUGUGGUGAAAUGAAAUAUAACUUUCGAAUUAAAAAUGCAAAAUAAUCAAUUUAACGUGUAAACUUGAGCCCUUAACUAAUGAUAAGUGGGUGUAUUUUUCUCUUGAUUUCGAACUUGUUUAAUAAAAAAAUAAAUCAACGUAUUAAUUUGGCAUUACAUUAUUUAAAAAUAUAUUUUUUUAUUGUAUCGUUUUCACCUUUUAGACAGUCACCUGCGUUAUAUUUGGCUUUUUAUUUUUAAGUUCACACUAUCAAGAUCAUUGACUUUCUUGGUCUAAUUUGUAAUCCUUCUUCUUCUCUCUCUUUUUUUUAUUCUUCCCAAGUGUAAUUGAUUAUAACCAAUAGAGUAAAAAAAAAAUCCUCAAGGAGUUUGUCAGAUAGCAACUAAGGGAAUGGAUCUUGACAAAAGAAGGCAAUAAUUCAAGCUGAUGGUCGAAAUGUCUAGCAAAUGUACAACACAGUUGGAGAAACAUCAGCCUCAGAAAGCAACCCCUUAGGCCUUCAACACACCAAAUUUUCAACCAUGGCGGUGAAAAAAAAAAAAAAAAUUGAUGAACCUGGGUUCAGAUUUUAUACCAUUUUCCUCAUCGCUUUUUCUCCGUGACUACAACAGGUCAGCAGGUACAUACUUAAUUCCAUUGUCUGUUUGCAUCCAGGGGAAUGGAUCUUGAGAAAAAUGGAGUAAACAUUCUGAUAUCAGAUUUGUUAAUUUUAGAGGUUGAAAAUCAACCUCUAUCUCAACUCAAAGUCCCAAGUUAAAAUUUUUUUCUCCUUUUCCAGGGCAGUUAAAUUGCAUGCUAUAAAUGGAUUCAUAUCUCUUGUAUUUAACAUUCUUUUGAUGAAUUUGCAGAAAAGCGAAUUGAUCUUGACAAAUUAUACCCUAUCUGGAAUUUAUUCAAAAGGCUAGCAAAUCAAAUUACAAACUUUCUAACAUCACCAUGCUUCAAUGUUCCAGAAAAUUUCUAGUGCAGAAAUUGUACUUUGACCUGGUGUAUCAUCUAUACUACGCUUUUGUAUAUUAAUUUUUUUAAAACACCUUUAUCAUUGAAUCAAAUAUUCAGAUUCAAAUAAAACAUUACCUAGAAAUUGUUCAUCUAAACCUCUUUUUGCAUUGAAUUUCUGAUACGUAUAAAAGCUCUUAUGGAUGGUCAAGAAUUAAUGUGACAAUUUGCUUUGAAUGAUUGUGACAAGAAAAUAUGUAUAUAUAUAUAUAUAUGUGUGUGUGUGUGUGUGUAUAAAUAUGUGUCCCUUCACUUUCCUUGCUUUGUAUAUAGGAAGUGCAAAGUUCACAUUCUAAUUGUUUUUAGUAACUAAGGGGAAUGGAUCUUGACAAAUUGAAGGGCAUUGCAAUUUGCAGUUAAUUUAUACAUAAAGCUAUAAGUAGGUUCAAUUCAUCUAUCUAUAUUUUCAUACUUAAUUAAUUAACCAGUCACUCAUCAUUUAUUCUAAGAUCUUUUAAUAGAGAAGUGUUUUAUAGUCCUUCUAAAUUACUAUAUCCCAUAAAAAAAAAAAGAUGUCAGCCUUAAAUUUCUUCAAUCACAAUUAGACUUUUACUAACAAAGAUAAAAAAAAAUUCCUGGUCUAUAAAUAUGAUUAGCUAGGGAAAGAAUUAUGAGUAUAUAAUGAUAUUUGGUAGUAAUUUUUCUGCAAAAGCGACACAAAUUUUUGUAAAAAAUAUUAAACAAUUUUAUUAUUAUUAUUAUUAUUAUUGUAUUUAAGAAUAUCAAAGAGAAUUAACCAUAGAGUAAGGAUGAGAGAGAGAGAUUGAGAAAGAGAGUGAGUGAGUGAAAGAGAGAGAGAAAGGGCUUUUGGAAUGGUAGGUGUUAAAGUGAAUUAUCCCAUGUUUAAUAAAUUUUUGAUAUCUUAUAGUUUUAUAUUCAGAUUAAAUCUUUUCACUUACUGUUAAUUAGUAAUGAGUGAGAUGCUUAAUAUGAUAUUAGAGUCAAAAAAAUAUUUUCAUUGCCUUUUCUUAAUUUUUCACGAGGAAGGCUUUUUCUAUUUUCGCUUAUACGUGAUGAAGGCCUAUUAAUAUAGGUUAUCUGAUAUCUAUAGUCUUAUAUUUAAGCCUAUAAUUUUAUAUUCAGGUUGGACCUUUUCACUUAUUGUCAAUUGAUAAUGAGUUGGAUGUUUAACAAUAUGGAGCAUAGCCUAGGUUUCAAAUAACAGUCGGAUAGUAAUAUAGCAGCCGCUAUUUUGUGGUAGCGCCACCAUCCAUUACUGUUGCUAAAGAAAAAACGAAAGAGAAUUUAAAUCUCAUCAAUAACGGUGUAUCGUGGCCAUGACUUGCGGUGUAAUGUUGAAUAGUGGCAAUAGCGGUCCAUUGUUGCCCGCUACUCCGUUUUUCAUUCAAAAAUUCAAAAAUUUUUUUAUUUGACUUUGGUUAAAAACUUAAAAUAAAAAUAGCAAGCCAAAAAAUAAACAUUAAUUCAUAAUUUUAGGGAAAAAAAACCCACAAAACUUAAACUUUCAAAGAUAUCAAUUCUCUCAAAUUCAACUUCAAUCAAGAUUAAGUACAUGUAGUUUAAAGUAAGCAAUUAAUUCAAUACUCAAAUUACUUUUUUUUUUUUAAUUUCAAAAUUUAUCGUGAUUUUAUGUGUUUGGGAUUGGACUGAGUUCCGGUGCACUACUAAGGAGUUGCUAGGACUUAAAAUGAGAGACAAGAGAUGAAAGUGAGACUUGAGAUUGAGGGAGACGAGCAUAUAGCACAAAAAAAAAAAAAAGGAAGCUGAGAGAUGGGGAUAAGGAUGAAGGUUUGAAGAAAAAAUUUAUUGAAUGCAAGGUGAGGGGAUGAAAAGUUGUAUGGAUCUAUGCAAUUUAGUCAAGAGGUAAAGGAAAAUAGACUUAAGGCUAUUAUUGUUGAAGAUUGCCCUUAAUAGGGAGGCUACAAAGUUUGAUUUACUGUAAGCCCAUAAAUAGUAAUGCUCUUGCUUAAUAUAUGAUGUCUAAUCACUUGUUAGAUGAUUUAUACGCAAUAUAGUUCGAUAAUAAUUUGAUGAGUAUGAUAAUUAAAUAAUUAAAUAUAUCAUUCCUUAUGAUUAUUUAUUUUUCAUAUAUUUUUUAUCUCUUGUUAUUUUUUAAUUAUCAUAUGAGUAAUUUUUUAAAUAUGAAUAUUUUACUAUAAAUAUUUUUUUAAAUAAAUAAAACACAUGACAUGAUAUAAAUUACUUUAAAAAUCAUAAAAUAAGAGAUUUUAUGAUUAAUAAUUAAAAUUAUUAUAUUUUAUCGCAAGUUAAGCAAAAUUAAAAAAAAUUCACGUUCGUAAUAGCCGUAAUGACUGUAAAAGUCUUUGUUAUAUUUGUAAUCGUGAUUAACGCGAUACAAUAAAAAACAUGACCGUUAUCGCAAUUUAAAUCCCUGAGCAUAGCCACAGUCAUUUUCGAAAUUCAGAUGCUUUUUAGAGGAGAAUGUUCAAUGGACAAGGAAGUUGGUUUCUAUAUUCGUGGACAAUAUGCACCCACAAAGUAAGGAUGUUGACCUAUGGGAUCUUAUAAAGAAGCCUGGCACAAUAAUGGACUUCUACAUCCCUGUAUAUAGAAGGAGAUCAAGACGAAGCAGGUUUGGCUUUGUGAGAUUCAAAGACAUGAGGGAAGCAUUGAAUGUCAUCAGGGCAUCGGACGGAAUAGUAUGGAAGGGUUGGAACCUAAAAGUGAGUUUGGCAAAGUAUAAAAGGCAAUUUAGUGGCAAGAUGAGCAGUAACUUUUGGAGAAGAAAAGAUCAUAGAAGGGUGGAUUAUCAUCAUCAAAGUUAUGUGGGCAAAGGAAAAACGUAAACAGAGGCUGUAAAAGGUACACGGGCAGAUUAGUCAGACAAUAAGAAACCAAAGCACAAGAAUGUUGAGGACGAAGAGAUAAAGGAGAUAGUUAAAGAGACAGAAAUGGAGUAUGAAACCAGAAACCAGGCCCCCUUGGAAGAAGAUGAACUAGAAAAGGAUUGGUUGGAAAAAUGUGCAGUCGCAGAGGUCAAGAAUCCACAAACCAUCCACUUGCUAAAACAUCACAUUACCAGUCAGGGUGUGUUACAGUUGUCAGUCAUGGUAAUGGGAGGUAGUAUGGUAUCGCUGUCAUUCGAAUCAAAGGAUGAAAUGCUAGGUAUGUUGGAAGAAAAAUAAAUGUGGCUCAAAAAGUGGUUUUUUGGACAAAACCGAGGAAUGAUGAUUUUAUUUCAUAUGAUAAGUUUGUACGGCCGAAAUUAGAAAAUGUUCCUCUGCAUGCGUGGAGUUAUGGAGUCUUCAAAAGAAUUGGGAACCAUUGGGGAAGCUUCAUCAUUCUAAAUAAUAUCAUAAUGAGCAAAAAAAGAUCAGAUGUGGCUAGAGUUUUAUCUCUAGUAAAGAAGGACGUCCAUCUGCCAAGUUCAUUUUCAUUGCGUCUUAAUGGAAGAAGUUACGUUAUUAAUAUGAUAAUUGAAGAUGGUCCCGAGUUUCUUUGGAAUCUUGGGGUAAAGAAGAUUCAAAAUGCAAUGACAGCCACUUCAUUGUUGAGCUUCAGUUUAUCGGAAACGUCGGGGGAGGAAGAACACAACACUCACAAGUAUGAAGGAGGGUUGGGCAGUUGGAAAGGUGUGAAUGAAGAUGUAUAGUCAAUAGACAUAGAAGAGGAACAGCUAAGCGAAAGUUGCAGAAGGAGGGACAACUAUCAUUGUAACGAAUUAUCGAGGAAUAAAAACAUAGCUGGAGGAGUAAUUAACUUACAGAAUCUUUCAAAAGUUUUGUCUUUUCAAGAAGUCUCGGAUGAAUCAAAGUUAUUCCAUAAGGGAACCUAUGAGGAUCUAAUGGUUGAAAGGGUCCCACUAGAUGAAGCAACACAGAUGGGAGGUAGAGAAUGUGUUGUUGGGAACUCCAAAAAAGUAAAUAAUAGCCCAACAGUCCAUCAUGAUGGGCUUUUAAAAAAAUAAGAGGGUUAAUGUGCAACUGGGAGUGAAUUCCAGCCCAAAUAUUAGCAAGUGGGAGAUACCAGACAAAAAAGAGCUAAAUAAGGAGACACCGAUAGUUGUUAGCCCAAUACCAUUAGAUAAUCAACAAGGCCCAAUUAAAGAAGAUUACCUUGUAUCCAGUCGUGGGCUAAGAAUGGAAAAAAGAAACAAGAAGUUUAUGUUGGUGAAUGAGUGUAGCUUAGACUAGUGGCACAAACACAAAGAUAGUAGGAAACUAAAAAAGGGGAAAAGGAUCCAAACCAGAGAUAUUCUACAAGAGAAUGAAAGAAAAGAACCGAAGACUGAUGAAGAAGCUAAUCUAUUUGAUGAAAAUAGAGUGCUUGGGAAAGAAGCAAAAAAAAAAAAUGUUAGAGGUGGGGAUUCUCCUCGAUCUAUUAGCCAAAACAAAGGAAAGAGAAGCUGUGGAGAAAUUAAUUACCAUGGGGGUGUGUAGAAUAUUUAAGAGUUAGAUAAGGAAUAAAGUCAAAUUCCUUAUCUUUAGGAUAAGGUUUAGUUCUUAUCUUUUUGAGUUUUUUUAUCUUUCUGUUUUUUUUUUAAAAUUUUUUUUUAAUCUUUUUUGUUAUCCAUUUUAGUUUAUUUAUUUUAUAGUUGUUUUCUAUGAAAAUAAGAGUGAAGAUGAAUUUUUUAUUUUAAAAAACUAACAAAGGUAUAAGAGCUAGAGAGUUGAGUUUAAAUCAGAAAAUUUGGAGAUGGCAAAAACUAAUGGAGAUAACAGAGCUUUCUAGGUGUCCAAUACUAAUCAAGUGCAACAAAUCACUUCGAAAAUGCUUCCUUUCACCAAGAGUCUCCCUUUUUUAAUGUAAACUCUAAUCCGUCUUCAUCUUGUUCAUUUGCCUAAAAAGGUAACCAUCUCACAACAGCUUUAGUUAGUGUUGUUCCACUCCUUGUCAUCCAUGGAUCAUUAAUUUCGGUGCAACUAAUCACAUGAUUGGAACUUCUAAUAUGUUUUGUUCUCCUAAAACUUGUGCAAGGAGUCAAAAAAUCAAAAUAGCUGAUGGAUCUUUUACGGUUAUCAUUGGAAAAGGGUGCAUAGUUCUUUUUCCCUUUCUUACACUCUAUAAUGUUCUUCAUGUCCCUAAUCUGUCAUGUAAUUUGUUGUCUAUUAGCAAAUUAAUUGAUAAUCAAAACUGUCAUGUUAAUUUUUUCUCUUCUAAAUGUGAAUUCCAGGAUUUAAACUCUGAAAAGAUGAUUGUCAAUGCUAGACAAAGUGGAGGACUUUACUUCUUUAAAGAUGGAAUUGACUUAAAAAGACAAUCUUAAAGUACUUGUCUCAAAUCCAUAUCUAUUGUUAGUGAUAAUGAAAUUUUUUAUGGCAUUUAAGGUUAGAACAUCCAAGUUUUCAGUAUUUAAAAUAUUUGCUUCCAAAGUUAUUCAUCAAUAAGAAUCCAUCUUCAGUGAAAUUUGUGAGUUAGCAAGACACCACUGUGCAUCAUUCCCCUCACAGCCAUAUAAAGCAUCAAAACUUUUUGCUAUAAUUCAUAGUGAUGUUUGGGAACCUUCUAGAACUUUUACACUUUUAGAAAAAAGAUGGUUUACCACUUUCAUUGAUAAUCAUACUCGUAUGUCUUGGGUAUAUUUACUAAAAGAAAAGUCAGAAACUUAGUUUUAAACAAAUAUUAAAAAAUUUUGAAGUGGUAAUGGGAAAGAAUAUUUUAAUAAAAUUUUGGGAAAAUAUUUUGAGAAAAAUGGUAUUGUCCUCCAAAGUUCUUAUAAUGAGGAAAAAACAAACAUCUUUUUGAGGUUUCUAGAUCUUAAGUAUUUACAGCUAAGGUUCCUAAAUAUUUAUGACGGAAGGCUAUUCUUAUUGCCACUUAUUUGAUCAAUAGGAUGCCAUUAAAGGUAUUACAUUUUCAAACUCCCUCAGAUUUAUUCGAAAAUGUUUUCCCACAUCAAGGAUUUUGGUCAAUAUUCCUCUAAAGAUUUUGGUUGUAUUGCAUUUGUUCACAUUCACAAUUAUAACAAGGGAAAACUUGAUCCAAGAGUAAAAGAAAUAUGUUUUUAUUUAUUACUCUCCAACACAAAAAAGGAUACAAAUGUUUUGAUCCCAUUUUGAAAAGAUAUUUGUUACUAUAUAUGUCACUUAUUUUUUUUAAAAAAAAAUAUGAUUUUAAUUAUCAUCUUCAGGGGGAGAGUAAAAAUGAAGAUUCUGUCUUUGACAUCUAAAUAGAAAUGCCACCUAUGAUGUCUACCUUAAAUUCAGAGAUACUUGCAAACCUUAGAAUGAAAAUGAAGAUUUUGUCUUUGACAUCUAGAUAGAAAUGCUACAUGUGAUGUCUACCCUAAAUUUAGAGAUACUUGCAAACCCUACUUCAGAAAUACUCGAGAUUACCAUGGAAACAAAAAUGUUAAAUGCUAAAAGCAAUGGACAGCCCCCUGUUGUGUUAUCAGAAAAUUACCUAGAACUAGAAAUUUGUGAAAAACCAAGUAAAAAAUUGAAUGAAUUCAUUGUUUAUUCAAGAAAGAAUCCUGAUCAAAGAAAAAAGUAGUCCACUUUGCAGCAGUCCAGGAAUCUAAUUUGAGAAUAUAUGAAAUUUCUAUCAAUUCUCCAAGUAAAUCCAUAUCUGAAUCGAGUUUCUUUAAGCCUGAUUCCCAAAUUGAGUUUGUUAAUGAUUUAGAUGUUCCAAUUGCUCUUAGAAAAGGUACUAGAGAAUGUACUAAACAUCUAUUAUCUAAUUUGGUGUCAUAUGAAAAGUUGUCUUCCUCUUUUCUUGUAUUUACUUCUCAAUUAUCUAGUAUAGACAUUCUUAAAAAUGUACAUGAUGCUCUUAAAGUUCCUAAAUGGAAGGAACUUGUACUUAAAAAGAUGAUAGCUCUUGAGAAAAAUAAGAGCUAGGAAGUAAUGAUUUUGCUUAAAGAAAAAUCCACAGUUGGUUGUAAAUGGGUAUUUACAGUGAAAUACAAUUCUGAUGGCUCCCUAGAAAGAUAUAAAGCUCAACUAGUGGUGAAAGGAUUUACUUAGACAUAUCGUAUUGACCACUUAGAAACAUUCACUCCAGUGGCCAAACUAAACAUAGUGAGAGUGCUAUUAUCAAUUGCUGCAAAUUUGGACUGGCCAUUGCAACAAUUGGAAUUAAAAAUGCAUUUCUCAACAAAGAUUUGAAAGAAGAAGUUUAUAUGGACUCUCUUUUGGGUUUCACUGAAAAAUUUGGAUCAAAGGUGUGCUAGCUAAAGAAGUCAUUAUAUGGACUCAAACAAUCAUUUAGAGUAUGGUUUGAUAAAUUCACUCAAUUCGAUAAAGAAACAAGGUUACAUUCAGGGGCAAACUGAUCACACCUUGUUCAUGAAAUUUUCACAUGAAGGGAAAAUAAUAGUGUUAAUUGUCUAUGUGGAUGAUGUUAUUCUUACUGGAGAUGACUUGCUCAAAAUAAAAAGGCUAAAACAGGUUGUAGCUUUGGAAUUUAAAAUUAAGGACUUGGGAUCAUUGAGGUACUUUCUUGGAAUGGAAGUUGCACGGUCCAAGAAAGGCAUAACUGCCUCACAAUGAAAGUACAUCCUUGAUCUCCUAAAAGAAAUAGGUAUGAGUGGCUGCAAAUCGACUGAUACUCUUGUCGAAUACAACUUGAAAAUAGGAAAAAGUGACAAAGAACUCCUGUUGAUACAAAACGAUAUCAGAAGUUGGUAGGCAAACUGAUAUAUUUGUCACACACUCGACCAGACAUCGCCGUUGCAAUUAGUUUAGUGAGUCAAUUCAUGAACUGUCCAUACGAAAAGCAUCUUGAAACUGUUUAUAGGAUUCUAAAGUACUUAAAGAGCACUCCAAGAAAAGGAUUAUUGUUCAAGAAAAAUGAACAACAAGGAGUUGAAAUUUUUGCUGAUGCUGAUUGAGCCGGAUCAAUCAUUGAUAGAAGAUCAACCUCUAGAUAUUGUAUAUUUGUCUAGGGUAACUUGGUUACUUAAAGAAGCAAAAAACAAAGUGUGGUGGCACAAAGCAACACUGAACUAGAGUUCAAAGCUAUGGCACAAGGAAUUUGUUUGAGAUAUUAUGGUUGAAACGUGUCCUAGAAGAACUAAGUAGGCCUAGCAACCUUCUUAUAAAAUUAUACUGUGACAAUAAAGUAGCCAUUAGUAUUGCGCACAACCCGGUACAACAUUAUAAAACAAAACAUGUCGAUAUUGGUAGGCAUUUCAUAAGGAAAAAUUUGAGGAUGGUGCCAUAUGCCUGCUAUUUGUUUCGACAACACAACAAAUAGCAGACAUACUAAUAAAGGGGCUUUUAAGGCCUAAUUUCGAGUUUCUUGUCAGUAAGUUGGGGUUGACAGACUUUUAUAGACCAGCUUGAGAGGGAGUGUAGAAGAUUUAGGAGUUAGUUAAGGAAUAAAGUCAAAUUUCUUAUCUUUAAGAUAAGAUAUAGUUCUUAUAUUUUUUAUUUUUUAUUUUUAUCUUUCUGUUUUUUUUGAAUUUUUUUUGUCUUUUUUGUUAUCUAGUUUAGUUUAUUUAUUUUGUAGUUGUUUUCUAUGAAAAUAAGAGUGAAGAUGAAUUUUUUAUCCUCAAAAACUAAAAGGGAGGAAGAGGACGAAUGAGAAGGUAAUUUCUAAAUGAUGAUGUACAUUUUUUUGGCUAAGAGUUUAUUGAAUCCAUGAAAAUCAUCUUUUUCAAUAUAAGAGGAAUAGGUGCAAAGGUAAAGAAAAGGGCAUUCAAGAAGCUUAUCAAAGGGAGAAGCCAACUAUGGUAUGUUUACAAGAAACAAAAUGCAUAGGAGUAACAGAUAGGAUUAUAACGCAGCUCUGGGGCAGUAAAGGAAUAAAUUUCGCACACAACGAUGAAAUUGGUUUGGUAGGAGGUUUAAUCUAUAUAUGACCAGUGGAUGCUUUCCAGGUAAUAUUUACUGCUAUUAAUGAAAGACACAUCUGGCUGCACUACAAGAAAAUCUAUUUUUUUCUUUUUUUUUUAAAAAAUUUUUUGACGAUUUCAUCGUGCACUCAAGUACUCUUGUGAAAGAAAAAAUCUUGUAAAGAAAAUAGACAAAAGCAAAGUUGGUUGUGAGGAUUCUGCAAGAAAUAAAUUCUUUAGUUCAAGUGUCCAUGUUUGAUUAAAAUGGACUUUUCAAAGUAUGUAACAUAAGCCAAUGUUUGAGGUUAUAAAGGAAUGGAUAAAUAGGCCCAAAACAUGUGUUUAAAGGUGACCAAGAAUCAUUUCAUAUCAUGUGAAAGAAUUUCUUUUGGACAUUCAUAAUUUUUAUUUCUUCGGUUGUAACAUCCAAUCAUCUUAUUCUUUUUUUUUUUUUGUUUUCUGUUUUGUUUUCACUUUUGCUCUUUCUUGCGUAUUAUGACAUUUGCUAGAAUAUGUUCAAAACUCAAUUUGUUUGACAUUUGCCCCUACAACUUAAGGCAUUCUUUCUUUGUUGUCGAACCAUGACUUCAUCAAAUAAAUCUUUUUUUGUAUUUUUUCCUAAUGUAGAAGGUGAUCUUUGAUCAAAGUUCAUUUAAAAAGAAUUCACUACACUUAAAGGGGUAGCAAAUGGAUAAAUUCUUAUUUGUGAAAGAAAAAAAAUGGCCAUUCAUCAUCUCAAGCCCGAUUACUUAUGUUGAAGAAUGAUUCCUUGAGAAACCUAGAAUUUUGUUUUUAUCACCUUUCUUUUUUUUUUUUUUUUGGUUUUUCUCUUUUUAUGAUCAUUUGAAUAUCUAGAGCGCACAAUGUAACUAUCAACAUUUUUUAUUUUAUUUUAUUUUUGUUUUUACAACUCAUAUAACAAUCAAUCUUUGCCCUAUUUUAAUAAAUCAUUAAGGUUUAUGUGACAAUGAAAAUCAUGUUGAAAGGGUUUAUUUGGGUCUUGAUUGUGCACAUCAUCACCAAAUUGCAUAGUGGCAUGAACUUGGUAAUUUUGUGGUAAUUAGAAAUCAUUCUCUACAGUCAACAUGACCCCUAGAUAAAAAGGUGCAUUGUGUAUUCAUGGCUAUGAAUUUUUGUUUGAAGCAUAGUUUUGACACCUAUCAACUCACCAACAUCUAGAUAAAAAAAACAUCAUAUUUGUCUGAUUUUCAAAGAACUCAGAAGGUUGCCUUGACAAGAGUUAUCACAAAGUUCAAACCUGUAUCCUUUAAAGUAUUAAAGCUUUUUUUUUCAAGUGAUUUUAGGAUAUGAAAAAGACAUGAGAAUAGUUUAUUUAGAUAGAUUCAUAAUAACAACCACCAUUUUUUUUGAAACUUUUUAUUAUGAAAAGAAAAGAAAUUUUUUUAAAAAAACUUUAGACCAAAGAAAAUCCUCUCAAUUAGCAUUUAGAUUCAACUUUCAUACAAGUUACAAAGUUCGUAUGCAUGUUUAAUAUAGAAGUGAAAAAGGAAACAAAAAGGUCACACUUUUUAAAUCAAUCCACCUUUUUGCAACACCAAAAAAGCCAUUAUUUUUUCAAAAAACCCACAAAACCAUUCUUCAAUUCCUCAUCCAUCCAUUACAUCCAAAUUAUUCAUAUCAAGUUAGAGAGCUUUCAACAACAUGAUGAUCUCUUUUAGUUUCAAAUUCUAAUUUUCUAACUUUAAUGAGAUUUCUAACAUUAUAUUUUAGUGUAAGACAGUUCUUAGUUGGUGGCUUUGAUUUUCAUUAUGGUAAUCACACUUUGCAUUAGAAUCAUACCAUUUUAGGUAAGGGGGUUGAAGGGGUUCUAGAUGCACAAGCUCCAAAAGUUAAUUCUGAAUAAGUUGGUGUAACAAUUCAGUGUAAGAUAUGGGAAUAGGGUCAAAAAUGGUUCUUUUUAUGGCAUUUCUUAAGGCUUUUGGACCACUACUUAGAUUAGGUCUCCAUUCUAGUCUAGUAGGUGCAGUGGGAUUGGUGGGUGUCUGAAAGGAUAGUUAGAAAUAGGGUGGAUAAGCUAGUUGUUGUAGUGGCUAAUAUGGCUGAUAUGGAUGGGGGAUAAAUGUAACAUUGUUUAUGGAAGGGUAAUGGGUUUGGCACAUUGGUACGGGGUAUAGCGUGAAAUCUCUAAACUGUUGCCCCAUAUAGUUCACUAUUUGGGCUUCGUUUUCUUUCUCUUUGGUAGUUCCACUUUUCUUUGCUUUGCUCAUCUCUCUUAAAUCAAGUUUGCUUUUUUAUAGUAUUUUUAAUAAUUUCACCUGAUAUCACCAUAUCUAUAAAAUUAGUUGCAUUCACUAUUAAUCUCUCAUAAUAUGGUGCCUUUAGGGUGUUCACAAAUAAGAUAGUUGUUUCUUUCUCAAUGAGAGAAGGUUGUACUUAUGCAACCAUAUCUUUCCAUCUCUGUGCAUACUCUUUGAAGCUUUUUGUUGCUUUUUUUUUCAUGUUUUGUAAAGAUAGACGAUCUGGAGCUAAAUCCAUGACAUGUCGAUAUUAUGCAAUGAAUGCCAUUGUGAGCUCUUGCUAGGAAUGAAUGCGAGUCCUGACUAGUUAAACAUACCAUCUAACUGUAGAUCCCGUAAGAUUAUCCUGAAAUACAUGCAUCAACAGCUUCUCAUCACAGUAUGUGCCGUCAUUUUACGAUAAUACAUGGUGACAUGAGUCAUUGGGCAUUUUGUACCAUCAUAUUUUUCAAAUUCAAGAACCUUGAAUUUGGGUGGAAUAACCACAUCUGGGAUCAAACAAAGCUUGGUUAUAUCCAUAGAGCCAUAAAAAUCCAUUCCCUCUAUAGCCCUAAGUCUUUUUUCUAAUAAUUUCAUCUUCUGUUGGGCACUGAUAUCUUUUACUUUCUCAAGUGCUUUUAUCCCUAGCUUUUCUCUCUUCUUGGGAUCAUCCAAAUCAGGAAUCAAAAUUGGCUCGGGUGGUUUUUCCAUUAUAACAAGAUUAGCAAAAUCUUGAAAUUAUCUUGGAACAGGUGUAAAUAUCAUUCUUGGAUAAGGAUUAGAAUAUCCUCUAGGAUUAGGAAUUUGCACUCUAGUUCCUUGAGAAGGUUGAGUUGGUUGUGGUUCAAACCUUGGAGGGUAAAUAGGAUCCACUAUGUCUGGUAAUUGCUCUUGAAAGCUAGAAUUUUCUUCUAUCGUAUUUCUUUUAUCAAGUUUCUUAAGCAUGUCCAAGAUCUUAUCAAUAUCCCUUUUUAGUUCUUCUUGAGCCUUCUCCAUCCUCUUAAAUCAACUAGCCUGUUCUUGUUCCAUGAUUCCUGUUUGAGCUCUGGUGUUGUAUAAAUGACAAGUUUUUUGAGUCAAAAUUUUUGGUGGAGAAGUUAUUAUUAAACCUUUAUUACCAUAAAAUUUUUUGAAAAAAAAAUCAAAAUGCCAUUUGUUAAAAUUUUUAUUUUUCAUUUUUUUAUUUAAAAAAAAAAACAAGAAUGGUGCACAUGAUGCAUGAAUGCAAAUGGAAGAUAUUUAUUUUUGGAGGAAUUUCAGCACUAAAAAUUCUCAUUAAUUUCAUACAACUUUUGUUACAUGAGAUCUGAGCAAAUCCAUAGUUCUAUGGGAUCUAUGAAGAACUUCUCGAGAAAAAGAUCUUUUAGAACAAAUACCUUGAUGCAGAACCGUAUGAUAUGAUUUAUGUAAAAAGAAAAAAAAAACAGAAUUGAGUUAGUGUGUUGUUUGAGAUUAAAAGUUUUUGUUUUGUUUUGUUUUCGUUUUUGUUUGUGUUUUUUUAUUACACUCAACUUUUAUUCCUACACAUUUUUUACUUAGUUAUUUUUUAAAAAAAGAUAGGUGAAGCUCUACCUAAGGUUGGCUCAUUAUAUGCUUAGUUUAGAUUGAUACGCAUCUAAAGGUUCUCAAAUUUUCUUUACUAUCAUUCAUGUUGGACUAGUAAGGUACCCCGAUCCUCACCCAUUAUAGGCUAUAAACAGAAAUGGUUCAAUUUAAAUGGAAGUAUUUCGCUUACCAUUGUAGAGGUCAUCACCUCACGAGGCAUAGGUACUUUACUUCCUCUUAUAAGGGACAAAGCUUAGGUAUAGAGCUCAUGCAUGAAAUGCAUCAUGUCAUUGUGUGUGCAAAUGUAUCCUAAUUUAUCAAGAGUGAUAUAUACAGAAAAAAAUAAUAAAAAAAUGUGUAUGAAAUUUUUUUUUGUUUUUGAUUUGUUUUCUUUUUAUCUGUUGGUUAUUUUUUCUUAGUAAAAAAAUCUAGAAAUUAAAAAUUAAAUAUCGAUUAAAACUGUUAAAAUCAAAAUUUAAAGAUAACAUGUAAUUAAUUAUGGCCUGACUCUCGAUAAAAAAUGGCAUCUCCAAUGAGUCGUCAAGCUGUCGUAACGGUUUUGGAGCCACCCAACGAAUUUGGAAAUGAAAAUGAAAAUAAAGUCGCCACUAAUCUUUUUUGGCUAGGUGCGAUUGAUCAUCUAUUAAAAUUUAUCCUUUUAAUAAGAUUUUAAAAUUAAUUAAAAUUUAUUAAAAAGAUAAUUUUAUAGUUUACGAAACAAUCUGGGUUUAAGAAUCGGUUACGCGUAGGAAAGGAUUAGCACCCGCACAGUGUCCGUUUAAAAACGGUACCACUUAACUACGUAUUAUCCUUUGAUUUGGAUAAAAAACAGUCUCAUUUUCGAUGUUUGAAAAAUAAUUUUCUUAAUUUUUUCAUUUAUUGAAAAUUGGUUUAUUUUAUUUUAUUUUAUGUUAUUUAUUGUUCAAGUUUAAUUUGAGAAAAAUAAAUUAAAACCCUUUUAUUGAAAUAAUUAUUAAAAUAUUUCAGUACGUUAGUAACGUUAUAAGAACUCUUUUUCACAUAGAGAUUUGUUAGGCAUCGCUUCUCGGAAUACCUUAAAAUCUCAUCCUCGGAGGUUUGAAUUUACUUUUCGUAAAAAUUAUGUUAUGCAUGCUAUGCAAGAUGUUAAUAUGUUGAAGCACAUAUUUUAUUUUUUUUCUUGGAAAUUUUAUUGAUAUUUUUUAUUGAAUUAUUGUUUCUAUUAAAGAAAAGAGAAAAUUUUUAUCAUAUUGAAGAUUUUUAUAAAUAUUCCAAUACACUAAUAAUAUUUUUAAAAAAAUUUUUCACCUAGAGAUUUCAUAAAGUAUCACUACUCGAAUACGUUUAGAAUCCCGUUAUCGGAUAAAAUGUUUUUUUCCUUAAUUUUUUAUCACUUAUUAUUUUUAACAAAUUAGUUUAUUUUUAUUUUAUAACAAAAGAAAAUUUUUAUUGUAUUUAAAAUUUUUUAUAAAUACUUCGAUACACUGGUAGUAUUAAAAAAAUCUUCUCACCUAGAGAUUUCAUAGGUAUUACUACUCGGAGUACCUUUGAAUCUCAUUGUCGGAUAAAAAUUUUCUUUUCUUAUUUUUUAUUAUUAUUUUAUUAUUUUAUAAGACUUAUUUUGAAAAUAACAAAAUUAUUACAAAUUUUUACUAUAUAUUUCAUUAUUUAUUUUUAUUAAUUAUUAUUAUAAAACAAUAAAAAUUUAUUCUAAUAAAUUUAAACAUUUGAACAUGCAUAAAUAUUAAUAAUAAAAUUUAAAAUAACAAAAAUAAUUUUUAAAAAAAUAAAAAAAUUUCACCUGAAUCGGAUCAAUCAACGGUUCGGUCAAUAUCAGUCCAAGCGGUUCGAUGGUCUAGUCUCGUUUAGCAGUUCGACACUGGUCUGACUCAAUCUGGGUGGGUUUAGCUGGACCUAUUAGAGGCUGAAUGAGAAGUGGGUCGUCUAGUUGGGAGCGCGGAUCUCAGGUUAGGUCGGUGGGUUAACUCACUGAUCUUGGGCUUAAAACGAUGUCGUUUUGGUCCUUUAAUGAAACAACGUCAUUUUGGCUUUCAGCUUUCUAUAAAAGCCAAAAAAAAAAAAAGUUCUCUCAUUUUUCUUUUCUCCCUAUUUCUCUACACCUCUCCCUCUUUCAAAGCUUUUCUCUCUAGACUGAUCGAUCGAUCACCGACCGCCGCUCUGGCCGUCAGUCACCGUUAUCGAAGUCAAAAAAUCCUAAAAUAUACGAAAAUAUUCUCCUCGAAGCGCUCUUUCUGGAUUUGGUCUCCUUUUCAUUGGGAAUAGCUCCGAUCGACUUAGAUAGGGGCUUAAAGUUUCAGUCUCUUUUUUUUUUAUAGACUAAAAUUGAUUUUUUUUUUGUUGCAGGGGCUUAGCGCUGAUGGUUCCUCUUUAUGGAGAGGAUUGUGUUGUUUUUCUUUUUGGUUUUUGGCAAGCUUUUUGGUUCUUUUUUUUUUCUAUGUGUGUUUGAUGAGUACAGGUCUAUAGGCGUGGUUUUUUGGAUGAGGUAGGAUCGGGUGUAGCAGGGGCUUGUGGAGGGGGUGAAAAUGGGUGCUGAGGGGCUAGGUGUAUGGGGGCUUGGUCUCCAGCGCAGAUCCGUCUGGCUUGUGGGUUUUAUAGGGCUGAUUGGGGGAGCAAGUGGUGGCUAGUUUGUGGUAGGUUUCAAGAGUCAGAGGAUUAAAAGGCAGAGUAUGGUGGUGAUGGGGCUACAGUUCUGGUGAGCAAAGGGUGGACAAAUGGUGGCAGUGGUGCCAUGCACGGCACCCACUACCAUCAACCCCUUUGUUUUUUUUUUUUUUUUGUAUUUUUGUUUAAUUAAUAAAUUAAUAAAAUAAAAGAUAAAUAGGUUUUGGGCUUAAAAAUGAAAUUAGACCUCGGGCCCAAUCAAAAUUAGGUCUUGGGUUCAGUUGAAAUGAAAUUGGGCUUCAAGCCUGAAAACCUAAUAUAUUUGACAAAUUUUAAAUGAAGAUCUAAUUCAAAAGCCUGAACAAAUUUGGUGUCUACAGUUAUACAUGUUAACCUAUAUCAAAUUUGGAGUUUAUGGUUGGUAUUUCUUUUUCUCCUUCCUAAGAAUCUAAUAGUUUGAUAUAUAUAUAUAUAUAUAUAUAUAUACUUUACUUCAAGCUUAGACUAUGCCUUUUAUUCAACUAUAGGCAUUCCUCUUCGAACAAGAGCUUCACCCAUUCCUACAUAUGCUACAGACUUGGCUUCCAAGCUAAAAGCAGCCUUUCUAAACUAUACGAGACUGCCGAACCAAAGGCUGUUUAAGAAGCCAGGGUAAUCACAGCAUUCCUCCUAUCGGGUGACUUCACUCGCUUAAGCCGAAUCGCUUUCCUUAUGGCAUCUGCUUUCAAUGUCAGCUGGAUUGCCUAGUUGAUUGUUAGUUCGAUUUUUACUAGUUUCAAAGGCUUUCUGCCCCGGCUUGGGACUCACUCCUCCUUCUCACCUCAUCGCGAAUUGCAAGAGAGAAUCUAGGGUUACCAAGACAGAUAUUCUUACCACAGCUUCACGCUCUACUUACUGCUUUCCCUAAGGCAAGGAAGGCGGGAAAGGCAAGGUAAGUGCAAGCUAACUAAUGGAUAUAUACAUAUAUAUAUA
rnacentral:lncRNA from 1 species